UUGUUUUUUGUUGUUGUUGAGGGAAGUGCGAAUCGAUUUGGUACUGUACAGGGUAAUAUUGUUCUCCCGAUAUUUUUACAUUUUUCUUGUAGUUUUUCCAAUGACAUCUAUAGCAAUAUAGUAAAAGGGGACAUGACUCUCUUGUGUCUUGUAUGAAUUGUUUUUUGUACACGUUAAGUUUGUUCUGCCGAACAAGGAAUCCGCGCCUUGUUAUCCCGAAAUUUUCAAGCUCGAGUAUCUUUUGUCUCAUCUUCUUUGAAACUCCCGCCUCUUCAACCCGCUCCGCGCCUUGUUAUCCCAAAAGUUCGACGCGCGCGAAAACUCCCUCCUCAUCCGAAAUCGGUCCCGCAGCCCAGACACGCGAAAUCCCCCUUCUACCCCUCAGCCGAAAAUGCCGGCUCGACAUCGCGCUGUCAAAACCGGUGGGGGUACGCUGGUAACUUACCCUACAUUCCAGACAAGCGCGUCCCUAAGCCAUGGCUCCCCCUACCUUCCCCUUCAUCCCCCACAUUCGUACACCGAGGCCGCCAAAACCCACAAAACCCCAUGCUCCUCCUUGGCCUCCCGACCGCCGCCCAGCUGGAGACUCUUCCCCGAUGACAUCGUCAACCGCAACAGCUCGAUGUCCCUCAUCCACCGCACCGGAUGAGGAUCCGUCAUCGAUCUCGUCGUCCCGCCGGAUCAGCCGCCCCGUCCUCCACUUCCAAGGAGCUGCCCCGAUGUUCGCCUCGUCUAUCGUGCCACCUCCAUCCCCACAGCGCCGUCUUGACCUGGCCCAUCGGAACCGCAGCACCCUCACCAAUUCCUCCGAUGAAGCCGAGGCCCACUCGGCACCACCAAGGAGGUUCUGCACUCACCGCUGCAUUUUAUCUUUUAUUCGAUCACGGGGUUGCCGGUGCUCGAUACCGAGCAGCCAUGGCGGGUCUCCAUCGGCGGCGCCGUCGCCGACCACUUCAUCCACGGCGUCUCUCCCCCAUGUCGUUGCUUCCUCGGCGGCGACUUCCACACCGGCACUAGCUGCAGCUGCUCCGGCUCUCGCUCGCGCUGCUGCUGCUGCUCCGGCUCUCGCUCGCGCUGCGGCUCUUUUGUUGUUGUCGGUCGCGCUGCUGCACUGCUCUUGCUUUCGUCCGUGUUGCUGCUCUUCUCUACUAUUGUUGUCGGUCGCGCUCCUGCUCCGCUCUUGCUCUUGUUCGUGCUGCUGUUGUAAGACCCCGGAUGUAACUUUCCAUAUUUGUAAUUCCAACUCUUGCCAUUUCCGAAUAUGUGAUGUGAUAUUUCCUUCGCAGUUGGGGUUUUGUCUCUCGUUUUGCAUUUUGUUCAUGUCAUGCAUUUCAUCUCAUGUCAUCAUGUGCAUCUUCAUGGUGUAGCGCAUUGCAUUGUGACAUGUUACUAUGUGAGUCAUGGCAUCAUCAUCCCCCUUCACUCUUCACCACCUCUCCUUCUCUUUUCUUUUGGCAAGUGCCAUUUUUCACUCCUCCUCUAAUGUUCAUCUUCUCCCUAUAAAUCUUGCACCUUGCCUACAUCCUCUAUGCCAAUUUUCAGCUCAUUUUAAUAUGUUUUGGUUGGGUUAAAAAUUGACUCAAGUUUGAAUUUAAUUCAAACUUGAUUUAAUUUUCUUCCUUAAAAAUCCCCAAAGUAAUUUAUUCAAAUGGCCCAUAAUUCCAGGAGUCCAAGUAUAUCUCUACUUCAUUCAUAUUCUUCCCCAAACCUCCUGGACAUUUCCUUUGGGAACUGUUUAUUCUUUUAAACAAGAAGCUAAGUAAGGAAACUUACCUAGGCCGGCCUCCCAACGCACCAGCGCCUGCAGCCCAACUCGCGCAGCAGCAGCCCAUCCAUCCCGCUAGCGACAGGAGCGUCAUCUCCCCUGUACGGCAGCUCAUCUAGACGUGCCACGUCGACGAGCUCGUUGAUUUGACGGCCGUCCGACGCCCCUAGCCCCUAUAUAUGGUGUCCUAGACCUAGCCCUAGUUCCCCUCGUCCACUUCUGUCCCUCUCUUGCCCUUGCCACCGCCAGGUAGGUCUCCACGUGCCUCACCGUCGCCCUGCCCACCAUGACCCGAGCGAGCAAGAGCUCGAGCUCGGGGUAGACGUCCACGUCGUACCUCCGACUCUCCUGUUGCCGUGGAGAGGACCGUCAAGUACCUCUCCGUCUCCUUCCACGACGCACGCGACCACAAGGCCUCCAGAUCGACUCCCUCGGCCGUCUUCUUCCUCUGCUUCGCGGACAGCAGCCCCACCAAGUUCAGAGCUGCCUCGCGUUGUCUCCGGCUCAUCUCCGUCGACCCCAUCGUGUCCUAGGGUGAGCUGGGUAAAGCACCUACCUCUCCCUUUCUUUCCAUGGCAUAUAGGACCCCGUGAGACUCGAUCGAUCCGUGUCUUCGCUGUGCUCCCGGUGCUUCGGCGGAGUCUGUAGUUUUGUUGUGUGUACUUGUUGCAGCGCGCCCGUGUGUCCCCGCGCUCCGGUUCCCACCUAGCUGCGUUCUCCACGCCGCGCUUGACCGUGUGCACGCUCGCAGCCCGCACGCAUCGCGUCGCCAGCUUCAGAGGUCGCUCGCUCGGCCUCUGCACCGACGGAACCAAGCCAAGCUCGCCAUGAGCUCGUGCUCGAGUUGAACCCCACACGCGCACUCUCGCAGCAGCUCCUCAUGCAUGCGCUGCACCCCCUCCACNNNNNNNNNNNNNNNNNNNNNNNNNNNNNNNNNNNNNNNNNNNNNNNNNNNNNNNNNNNNNNNNNNNNNNNNNNNNNNNNNNNNNNNNNNNNNNNNNNNNNNNNNNNNNNNNNNNNNNNNNNNNNNNNNNNNNNNNNNNNNNNNNNNNNNNNNNNNNNNNNNNNNNNNNNNNNNNNNNNNNNNNNNNNNNNNNNNNNNNNNNNNNNNNNNNNNNNNNNNNNNNNNNNNNNNNNNNNNNNNNNNNNNNNNNNNNNNNNNNNNNNNNNNNNNNNNNNNNNNNCGCCUCGCUCGCCGGCGUCGUCGUCGUUUCCUUUUCUGUAUGCGUAGAGUAGACUAGCCCAGGCCUCGGGCAAGUACAUAAGGUAUCUGGUCUUCUGUGUGUCAACUACGAGCGCCUACCAGUGGCAAAGGCCAUGAUAUAUCUCCAGGGUGACCCGGGUUCGAUCCCCCGCGGGCACGGUUUAAACCCCCCCCCCCUUUAAUUUUGCAAUAUGCGUGAGUAUGACAGCAAGGCCCCACCUACCAUACACACACCACAUUGCCCCACAUGUCAGCCUCUCACAUGGAAUUUUCCAUUUCAGGAAAAGGAAUCUAUCCAUUUCGGGCAAGUCCAUAUCUGGACAUUUCCUAUUAGGGAAACUUGCCAUAUCUGUCAUAUUCCAUUUAGGGCAGUAUUUAACUUAUAGCUCUUGUGAAGAUUUUUCUACAGCAACCCCAACAUAUUAUAUAUUUUUUUGGGGUAGAAAAAUCCCACCAAUCCAGUGGUGGCAUUAGUUUAUGCAUUUGAGCAAGUUCAUGAACAUGGCAUUUUACAUCAUGAUGUUGUUUUGUCAUUUUUGUGUGAUUUAUUUCAAACAUGCUAUGAGGUUGUUUGGCACAUGGUUAGCUUCAUUUUGAUGCCUACUCCAUGCUAGAUUUAUUUCAUGCCAUGAUAUGCUAUGUAGUGAGUUAAUCAAGCUUGUAAACAUGCCAAUAUGAAUCUGUUUUUGCCAUGCUAGUCAUUUUCACUAAGUCUGCUAGAACUGUUGUCAUUUGCAUUUUUGCCAUGAUGUUUGAGACCUGUUCGAGUGAGUUAUAGCAGUAGCUCAGUGUUCAUGUAUUGUAGAGUCACAUGUAGUUCACUGCUAUGUAUUCAGUUUUCAUGUUUGGGUGUUGUAGCAUAUUUAAACCUUGCAUCUAAGUGGCCAUGUUGCUGUUUUAAGCAGUUUGCAUCAUAUCUUGUUUUGCUUGUCGUUUGCAAACCGUGUACCCGUUUCCGGUGAUCCUUAUACCGAUUUCGACCGAAAUCACCUCCUCUUUCCAGCGGCAUACUUGGUUUGCCAAGUUUAUGCCUCGUUUAUCUUUUCCCUUCGGAGUACCCAUACGCUUUGCAUAUCAUAUUUUGCAUAUUGCCAUGUCUUGCAUCAUGUUGCUUGUGCAUUGCACCGUGAUUGAUUGUUGUUCCGUUGCUUGUGUUCUUGCUUUGGGUAGAUCCGGGAGACGAGUUCGUGAACGAGGAACCUGUUGAGUACGCUAACAAGGAUCAAGCUUUCGACAACUCUGAGAACUUUGAAGGCAAGAUGACCAUUACCCUCGAUAUCACUUCUAUCUUUGCUUGCUAGUUGUUCGCUCUAUCGUUAUGCUUGUGCUACCUACCACUUGUUUAUCAUGCCUCCCAUAUUGCCAUGUCAAGCCUCUAACCAUCCUUUCCUAGCAAACCGUUCUUUGGCUAUGUUACCGCUUUGCUCAGCCCCUUUUAUAGUGUUGCUAGUUGCAGGUGAAGAUGAAGUUGGUUCCAUGUUGGAACAUGGAUAUUUUGGGAUAUCACAAUAUCUCUUAUUUAUUUAAUGCAUCUAUGUACUUGGUAAAGGGUGGAAGGCUCGGCCUUAUGCCUGGUGUUUUGUUCCACUCUUGCCGCCCUAGUUUCCGUCAUACCGGUGUUAUGUUCCUUGAUUUUGCGUUCCUCACGCGGUUGGGGAAUUAUGGGACCCCCUUGACAGUUCACUUUGAAUAAAACUCCUCCAGCAAGGCCCAACCUUGGUUUUAACAUUUGCCACCUAAGCAUUUUCCCUUGGGCUCUGCAGACUCAAGGGUCAUCUUUAUUUUAAACCCCCGGGCCAGUGCUCCUCCGAGUGUUGGUCCAACCUGGGCGAUGUCCGGCGCCCCUGGGCAACCAGGGUCUAUGCCAACCCGACGUCUUGCCCAUCCGGUGUGCCCUGAGAACGAGAUACGUGCGACUCCUAUCGGGAUUUGUCGGCACAUCGGGUGGCUUUGCUGGUCUUGUUUUACCAUUGUCGAAAAGUCUUGUAACCGGGAUUCCGAGCCUGAUCAGGUCUUCCCGGGAGAAGGAAUAUCCUUCGUUGACCGUGAGAGCUUGUGAUGGGCUAAGUUGGGACACCCCUGCAAGGUAUAAACUUUCGAGAGCCAUGCCCGCGGUUAUGUGGCAGAUGGGAAUUUGUUAAUGUCCGGUUGUAGAGAACUUGACACUUGACUUAAAUAAAAUGCAUCAACCGCGUGUGUAGCCGUGAUGGUCUCUUUUCGGCGGAGUCCGGGAAGUGAACACGAUUUGGGUUAUGUAUGAACGUAAGUAGCUUCAGGAUCACUUCUUGAUCAUUACUAGCUUCACGACCAUUGCACAGCUUCUCUUCUCGCUCUUAUUUGCGUAUGUUAGCCACCAUAUUUGCUUAGUGCUUGAUGCAACUCCACCUCAUUACCCCAUCCUACCCAUAAGCUUAAAUAGUCUUGAUCUCAUGGGUUUUGAGAUUGCUGAGUCCUCGUGACUCACAGAUUCUACCAAAACAGUUGCAGGUGCCGAUGAUACCAGUGCAGGUGAUGCUACCGAACUCAAGUGGGAGUUCGACGAGGAACUUGGUCGUUACUAUGUUUCGUUUCCUGAUGAUCAGUAGUGGAGCCCAGUUGGGACAAUCGGGGAUCUAGCAUUUGGGGUUAUCUUCUUUUCAUUUGUAUUUGUCCGUAGCGGACUAUGUGUGUACUCUGAAUGAUGUAUGUUUAAUUAAUGCAUUGUGUGAAGUGGCGAUUGUAAGCCAACUCUUUAUCCCAUUCUUGCUCAUUACAUGGGAUUGUGUGAAGAUGACCCUUCUUGCGACAAAACCACCAUACGGUUAUGCCUCCAAGUCAUGCCUCGACACGUGGGAGAUAUAGCCGCAUCGUGGGUGUUACAGCUGCUCUGCUCUUGCUCUCGCUCUCGCUCGCGCUGCUGCUGCUGCACGACCUCCGGCAGCUACAGGAGUUGGGUGGGCAACAAACAAUAGAUGAUCCAUUCUCUAUCCUUUUAAAACUGAAGCUAUAAUCUACCUGCUAUCAUUACGAGUGGAUCUAUCCACUCGUUUGCUACCAUCAGUCUUGAUUUCUGCAUGCACCCCUUAGGCCUUACAAAAUCUAACUAUUUUUGUUAUUAUGCAUGUCAGUUAUUGUACACAAUCGUACUGAACAUGUAGAGAAAAGGAGAAGACCGUUGCAUGGGAAUAUAAUGUCAUGCAGACGCCGCUCCAUGGUGGGCGAAGUGCCCCCCCCCCCUCCCGUCGCGCCAUUCCAGAUUGUAUUCCAGAGGAAGAUAACUGUUCAGAUGGGGAUUCGGAGGGAGCUGACCACUCCUAUUUACCACCUGAGGUGUUUGCUCUAACCUGGCAUGCUGAUGUUGGUCAUAUCAUGCAUAUGGCGCCUCGCAUUGCUUACAUUAUACAUCUUGUAUGUGAAUUGUAUCGUGCCAUAUUUUUUUCAUAAUGUAUUCCAUUUGUCAACAAUGUUUAUACAUUCAUCUACUCUUCCAGUGCAUCGGCCAUUUGAGUCGGUCAUGGGAAAAUCUGGAGUUAAAACAAGGUCUUCUGAGCAGUCAGUGCUACCUGUCGAUGCAGAUUUCUUGCUGGCUACAGAUAGCUCCUCAGAGGAGGAUUCAGAGACAGAUGACCAGUCGUAUCCCCCCCCCCCGAGGUGCAUGCUCUAACAUGGCAGGGUUAUAUUGCUCAUAUCAUGCAUAUGGUGUCUUGCAUUGCCAUGCCAUCUACUUAGAUUAGACAUGCUUUGUGUGAAUGCCUCUUGUUUGCUUUCUAUAUCAGAUACGUGAAUUAUGCAAUGCCAUGUUUUUCAGCCAGUUAUCAUAUAUGUGAAUUAUGCACCGCCAUGUAGCCAGGCAUCAUAUAUGUGAAUUAUCUCAUGCCAUAUUUUUUUUCAUUACAUAUUCCAUUUGUCGACAAUCUGUGUAUAUUGAACUACUCUUCAUGUGUAUCAGCCAUUUGAGCCGGUUAUGGAAAAAUUAGGAGUGAAAACAAGGUCUUUAGAGCAGGCAAUGGUACCUGUUGAAGCAUAUAUCUCGAUGGUUACAGGGAGCUCCUCAGAGGAGGAUUCAGAGACAGAUGACCAGUCCUAUAUCCCACCUGAGGUGUAUGCUCUAAGUUACAAUGUUUAUAUUUCUCAUAUCAUGCAUAUGGUGUCUUGCAUUGCUUAUUUUAGACAUCAUAUGCACAAUAUUGAAUUCCAUCUGCUUAGUUUAGAGAUGAUACAUGCGAGUGCCAGCUGCUUAGUAUAUGAAUCAAUUAUGUCAAUUGUAUCAUGCCAUCCUGUAUACUUAGACAACAUGUAUGUGAAUUAUUUCAUCCCAACUGUCAGUGUCAAAACCGGCGGAUCUCGGGUAGGGGGUCCCGAACUGUGCGUCUAAGGUUGAUGGUAACAGGAGACGGGGGACACAAUGUUUACCCAGGUUUGGGCCCUCUCUAUGGAGGUAAUACCCUACUUCCUGCUUGAUUGAUCUUGAUGAAUAUGAGUAUUACAAGAGUUGAUCUACCUCAAGAUCAUAAUGGCUAAAACCCUAGGAGUCUAGCCUGUAUGAUUAUGAUUAUCCUUAUCCCUACGGACGAAACCCUCCAGUUUAUAUAGACACCGGAGGGGACUAGGGUUGUACAAAGUCGGUUACAGAGAAAGGAAUCUUCAUAUCAGGGCGCCAAGCUUGCCUUCCACGCUGAGGAGAGUCCCAUCCGGACACGGGAGAGGUCUUUGGUCUUGUAUCUUCACAGCCCAUCAGUCCAGCCCACGUACCAUAGUCCGGGCGCUCGAGGACCCCUUAAUCCAGGACUCCCUCAGUAGCCCCUGAACCAGGCUUCAAUGACGAGGUGUCCAGCGCACAGAUUGUCUUCGGCGUUGCAAGGCGGGUUCCUUCUCCGAACACUCCAACACAGUCUUCGAACACAACGAACGUGUCCGGCUCUGCAAAACAAGUACCACACACAACCACAGAGAGUAUAAUAUUUCACGAGUCCAAUCUGCUGACAACUUUUUGUACCGUGAUAUCACGUCCCUGCCCGGUUAUUAUUUCGAACCGUUUUUCGGCCUGCCGCUUCACAUUUAAAGAUGUGGUUUCUAUUGGCACAUCUUGUCGCAGCAGAGAUCGUGUCCCCUCAUGACAGGAUUCUCUUCAAUACGGGCGUGGGUAAUCCAACCGUGCCGUCUGCACAGCCCUUGGGAACAGGCGAGUUUUAAGGCGAGUGGGGAGGCGCUUGAUAUGCACUGCCUUUAUAAGGAGAUAAGGAUUCCUUUCUUUCACCCACGCCUUCUCUCUCUCUCUCUCUCUCUCUGCCCUCUCGUUCUCGAGCUCCAGCGCCCAAGUCCUCGUCUUUUCUGCCUCAAGAAAGCACUCAAUCAUGUACGGAUCUGGAGCGCAAGGCAAGUGGAUGGCCUCCUCCGUCAAGGAGAAGGACAUCACCAAGCUUUGGGAGGUCGGGUAUCUGGCCAAGGAAAUCGCCCACCGGCUUCCGGCCAAGGGGCAGAUCGUCCCCACCCUAGAGCCCAAUGAGAGGGUUGUGUUCAUCCCCCACUUCGUCCGUGGGUUAGGGUUUGCUCUCCACCCUUUCGUCCGCGGACUCGUGUUCUACUACGGGCUAGAUUUCCAUGAUCUGGCCCCAAAUUCUUUCCUCAACAUCUCGGCAUUUAUUGUCGUGUGCGAGGCCUUCCUCCGCAUUCCACCCCACUUCGGACUGUGGCCUAAGAUCUUCAACAUGAAGCCGAAGGUGGUGGAUGGCCAACACGCAGAGUGCGGAGGUGCCAUGGUGAGCAAGAUGCCCAAUGUCACAUGGCCCAAAGGUACCUUUGUGGAGACCAUCAAAGGGUGGCAGCAACUAUGGUUCUAUGUCACAAAGCCCCGCGACGCCACCUGGGCCGCGGCUCCCGAAUUUAAGUCCGGAGCCCCAAUGCGGCUCGCCUCCUGGCUAGAGAAGGGCCUGAAUUGGUCUUCGUUGGACGAGCUGACAGCGCUGCAAACGCGCAUCCAGAGCAUGGUGGACAAGAACAUCAAGCUCGUCAAUGUGAUCCAGGUGAUGCUAGUUUGCCGGAUCCUUCCAUGCCAGAGCCGGACUUGCCAUUUAUGGGAGUUCAAUCCGGCCGAGCACCAGACCUUGCCAUGAUUAUUCAGAACUACGCACGAAGACAUCUGGAAGGUGCUCUUCAAGGGCAACGAGACGCGGCCGGAGAGGACCGGGGACCAUGGGCAUGACCUGGCCCAUCCCGCCAGUGCAGUAAGUCUUUCGCGUUUCAAGGUGUAUCCUUUACUUUCUUCUUCAGGGGAGAUACCUAAACCCCACUAUUUAUUUUUCCAGGGCUGGACAAACAAGGUGGAGCGCAUUCGAUGUCCGGCUCCGCUGCCCGAGGAAUCAGCCAUUCCGCUUCCGAUGAAGAUGCUGGUUCCGGCGCCCUACCAGGCGCCGGAGAAGAAGGCCAAGGGGGUCAGAAGUGGCCCCCGCCGCAAGGGCACUUCGGACGUGAUGUCUAAAGACACCGAGACUCACUCCUCCGCCGCCGAGGACAACAACGAGGAGGAGGAAGAAAGCAACUCUCCCCGUGAGGGGGGAAGGAAGAAGAGGGCGGCCUCCACAAAUCUGGAGGCAAAGGCGUCCAAGAGGGGGAAGGGCUCCCUCGUGGAUAACUCCGUGUGGGACAUCGACAGCAGCCCAGAGCGGCGCCCCCGAGACAAGCCCCUGGACGAAUCAUGAGUACUCAAAAACCUGGACACAUUCAUAUAUCUGGCCUCUCCGCUUCAUAGUAUUAACAUGUUGAAUCAUGCACUUACAGUCCGGCUCGGUCCGGCGUCGAGCGAUCCUCAUCUUCGGGGAAUUCGCAGGACCCGAAGGCGAUGGACAACGGGUCCCUUCCGGCGGCCUCCUCUCCCAAGGCCAUGGAUGACACCGAGGUGUUGUCCCGAAGGAUCCCAGGCCAUGGAGAGACUCAGGAGGCCGCCAGGGCAGCGCCGGAGGGUGAUACCUCGACCGCCGGACACAUGGGGGAGCCAAUCCCCAUGGAGACUGGCGAUGGGGGCCAUAUUCAGUUCGGCCCCCAGCCGAAUACGGUCCCGGAGACCAAUGCUGCUCUGGAACCCGGCAAGCAACCUCCUUCGAAAGGAGGAGGUGCGCCUAUUCCGCCGGUGACCUCUGUCCAGCCAGAGGCGCCGGACACUCUAAUGGAAGCGUUGUGAAGUGCUUCCGUUGUUGAGGAACACCGUACCCUUAUGGGUACGGUGGUUGCGAGGAUUCAGUCCACGAAGAGCGGACUGACCGAAGCCUGCACAAGCCUUCUAACAGGCUUUGAGGUAAGCAACGCAAUUAUGUAAAAAGAAUGUCACAGUAUAGACAGUAGCCCCUGAGACUCUGUCCGGUGUUCGGAAAGAAAAGCCGGAAAGAGGAUCAAAGAAUUUUCGUAGGAGACUAACCAUAUGUGUCUAUGUGAUUAAGCAGGCAUCGUUACUGGCGGCGACCUCCCACGCUGCCAAAGGCUCCGGACUGAAGCAGAGGCUGGAGCAGGCCGAGGAGGAGCUCGGCCAAGCAAGGAAGCAGCUAGCGGAUAAGCAAGGUAUGUAAUGACCUGUUGUAUAUUCAGAAAGAAUAAAUGAUUUGUAUUGACCAUAGUGCCAUGGUAUUUGUAGGAGCGGCGACCGAGGUCGAGACCCUUAAAAAGGCACUGGCCGAGGCCGAGGAGAGAGCUGCCAAGGAACAAGCCGCCCGCGAAAAGCACGAGGCCAGGGUCGGUGAGGUCCAGCAAGAGCUCCAGGAUGCCGUGAAGAAAUGCGAGUCCUUGGAGCGCGAUAUUGUGGCUCAAGAGACCGAACUCGCCAAGGCUCGCCAAAGCGCACAAGAUGCCCGGGUGGAAGCCCAGGGCGCUCUCCAGGAGAUUCAAGAGGCCAAGAAGAUUGCGGCGGGUAAGGCCUUCAUUAUGCAGAGCAAAUAUGUGAAGAAGAGGUACCUCUUACUAACCCGGAUUUGGAGUUCUCCAGAAGCGUUUGUGGAUUUGCCGCACAGUGUUUCUAACGCUGCGGAAUUCUUCCGAACCGAAGAGGGGAGCUCAACGGAGAAGCUGUUUUGGUCGCAAUACCUUGCGCCAGAACAUUCGGUGCCCUUUUAGCGACCAGCUGAAACAGCUGGUCGAACUGCAUAGGGUGGCCGAACUAGCCAUGAAGGAUUAAAUAAUCCGGCUAUGGCCUGCCGAAGCUAUACCCAGCAGCUACUUUGGGCUCGUGAAGCGACUGGUUAUUGCCUGCCCCCGGCUUGACGUUAUCAAGCGAUUGGUCUGCAUUGAGGGUGCGCGGAUGGCCUUCGCCCGCAUCAAGGUGCAGUGGGCGAAGAUGAAAGCCGUCAAGCUCGCGACCGAGGGACCGCCCGAGGGCAAGGAGCACCGCACGCCCGAGCUAUAUUUUGACAAUGUCCUGGAGGGAUCCCGCAUUGUGGCGGAGUAGUGUGCGAAAGAUGUGAUAUUUGAAUGAAUACAUUCAUAUUAUCUUGCCCAGUAUUAUGGAACAAAGUAGAUUAUGUAAUAUAAUGCUUGUUAAAAUUGUACCUCCUGUGCGGCCGUUUUUAUGAAAUCUGAGAGUUGGCCAGUCGUCGGCUUCAGCCCCCAUGUAGGUAGUACGGGGGUGUUCGGGAUGGAAUCUAAACACUCUUGAUCCAAUUGUUUGGUCCUUGAAGGAGGUGUUUAGCGCAACGAACCAGGCAAUCGAACUAUGUGGCUUUAUCACCCUCACUUAGCCAUAGGAGUUCGACAAUAAAAAUUUAGGCGCAGCCCCUAGUAUCCGAACUAGGGUGUUGUAAACACCUGAUCGGGUAAGAACCGAUUCAUCACAUAAUGCGGAAAAAAUUGCUAAAGAUUUGAAACCUCCGAAGAGCUGACCGGCUCACGCCGCAUCAUGACAGUCAGUUUUCGGCUUUCUCUACUGAGGUGCUCAUCCGGAUAAACCAGGACACAAUCGCAGUAGUUCUCCCUUUACUACCCUAGCCGAUAUAGCGGAACGUAAGCUAGUAAGCACAGGAGCCGGGCAACCCAACUAUUGACCAAAGACAUGAUUCGGAGCCAACGCAUAUAAUGCUAAAUUCGGGGUGCCGAGCUAUACUGUAAAAAGUGUUCGGACUUUGUUGCCGUACUAUGGAGCGCAAUGAAGCCCCUGGCGGAUUAAGGCGUACCAAAGUGCAUGGGUGCGAUUUGAUAAGAUUAUCACAAAAAAGGUAGCAAGCUAGUGCCGCAGAAGUUGGGCCGCUAAUUGUUUCUAUUAUAGUUUGAUUAAUACGUCAAAGCGUAUUUGUACAAGUAGUGCAAUAAGCAACAGGGCUAUUUAAUAAGCCAUAACCAAGGGAGAGCUGCGUGCGGGUCCUGAAAACAGGUAGAGUGAUCGUUAAGGAGACCACCUAAAAAUUCCCUUAUACGUCAGUGCUUCUUGCCGUCUUGGUGUAUCUAUCCUUUCGGAAGGACCGGUGACCAGGCCGUCAGGAAAGGCCUGUGGAAAAGAAACCUGAAAAGGAAACAAAAAGAAAAAGUGAAAGUAUGUGUGUCCAGGGGAGGUCGAGCCGUAUUAUGGAUCACAAUCUAGUUAUGCCUCCGUCUAUGCCCAUGGUAUUUUGAGUGCGUAGUUAUGUACGCGUGGUACGAACACCACCGCUUGGUCUGGGCUGGGACGGAGGCCAAAUUGCUAGUCGAGCUCUUCACGAGCCGGCCUGUCCUGCUGCAGAGUAGUCCGGACUCGUUUGACAGUCUCCGGGAGCUCGGCCGCUGAAUUAAGGCUCUGCUUGAAAAGGCCACUCUGUACCUCUGCUGCUAAAGCAGCGGUGUGCUCCUCGGUACGGAGGGAGCGUUCCGUGUUUCCAUUGACUGUUAUGACGCCGCGUGGUCCGGGCAUCUUGAGCUUGAGAUAAGCAUAGUGUGGUACCGCGCUGAAUCGAGCAAAUGCGGUUCGUCCCAGCAGUGCGUGAUAGGCACUGCGGAAGGGGACGAUAUCGAACAUCAACUCUUCGCUUCGGAAGUUGUCCGGGGAUCCGAAGACAACCUCUAAUGUGAUUGAGCCCGUACAGCGGGCCUCUACACCUGGUAUGACUCCUUUAAAGGUAGUCUUUGUGGGCUUGAUCCUUGAGGGAUUAAUGCCCAUUUUGCGCACUGUAUCCUGAUAGAGCAGGUUCAGGCUACUGCCACCAUCCAUGAGGACUCGCGUGAGAUGGAAUCCAUCAAUGAUUGGGUCGAGUACCAGUGCGACUGAACCGCCAUGACGGAUACUGGUCGGAUGGUCCCUGCGAUCGAAAGUGAUCGGACAGGAAGACCAUGGGUUGAACUUUGGGGCGACUGGCUCCAUCACGUAGACGUCCCUGAGCGCGCGUUUGUGCUCCCUCUUGGGGAUAUGGGUAGCGUAUAUCAUGUUUACUAUUUUAACUUGGGGGGGAGGACUUCUUCUGUCCACCUGUGUUCAGUGGACGGGACUCCUCGUCAUCGUGCUCGCUUUGCGACCCCUUCUCCUUGUUCUCGGCAUUUAAUUUUCCGGCCUGUUUAAAAACCCAAGUCUCUAUUGGUUUGAUUGGCUGGUUUGUCUGGGGUGCCAUGGAUCUGGCAUGGAUGAUCGAGUAUGCGGUCCAAGCUGGAUGGGCCCGGAUUGUUUCUUUUAUAUGGCAUCUUUCGCUGGCCGGACUUGGAGCCACUGAAUCCGGCGUUGACCGCCAUGUCAUCGGUAUUGUCACUAUUGCUUUGACGCUUGUGCAUGUUGCGUUGGGGCUUGUCGUUGCUGUUUUUGGUCUCAGAGGUGCCAGCUUUGCUUGCAGUGUUAUUGCUACAGGCUAGCCAACUAUCCUCGCCCGCACAAAAACAGGUCAUGAGUGUCGUGAGGGCUGCCAUGGACUUCGGCUUUUCUUGGCCGAGGUGACGGGCAAGCCAUUCGUCGCGGAUGCUAUGCUUAAAGGCCGCUAGGGCUUCGGCAUCCGGACAGUCGACAAUCUGGUUCUUUUUAGUUAGGAACCUGGUCCAGAAUUUCCUGGCUGACUCUCCGGGCUGUUGAACUAUGUGACUUAAGUCAUCAGCAUCUGGAGGUCGUACAUAUGUACCUUGGAAGUUGUCACGGAAGGCGUCUUCCAAGUCCUCCCAGCUGCUAAUAGAGUUUUCAGGCAGACUGUUUAACCAGUGCCGAGCUGGCACUUUGAGUUUUAGCGGGAGGUAUUUGAUGGCGUGAAAGUCAUCACCGCGGGCCAUAUGAAUAUGGAGAAGAAAAUCCUCAAUCCAUACCGCGGGAUCUGUUGUUCCAUCAUAUGAUUCGAUAUUUACGAGUUUAAACCCUUCUGGGAAUUCAUGCUCCAUUACUUUGUUAGCGAAGCAGAGGGGGUGUGUGGUGCCUCUGUAUCUGGCCAAGUCGCGAGGUAGUUCGGAUAUAGUCUGUCUGCGAUUUUCGGCCUGGGCGUGAUUAUGUUUGUCACGUCCGGCCAAAUGGUCGUCGUCGCGCGUCAGGGCACGCGCCCGUGAUCCGUAGAUCGAUCUAGUCUGACCUGUUCUGUUUUUUAGGUCCUGCCGCAGGUCAUAUGUAUAACCCCGAGCCGUUUUAUCUCUUCCUUUACGGUGAGGUAGGACGGGCUGGUGUUCAGCUUGAGGUGUCGCUUUAUCCCGGCCACGUGGUGGUCGGUCAGCCGCAUUACGCGCUGAUGGUACGGGCUCCAACGCCUCAUCAUCGGAUUGGGGUAGCAAUUUGCGCUUCGGGUAACUUUUAGUUGGGCAAUCGAGGCCGUAUUCCUCGGCUGCCAGGACAUUAGUCCAUCUGUCGUUGAGUAGGUCUUGAUCAGCUUGAAGCUGAUGCUGCUUCUUUUUCAGGCUCCUCGCAAUGGCUAUUAGCCGACGCUUAAAGCGCUCCUGCUCGAGAGGUUCCUCAGGCACGAUGAAAUCCUCGUUGCCGAGGCUCACCUCAUCCUCGGCAAGUGGAAGAUAAUUACUGUCCUCCGAGUCUUUGUUUAUGGCCUGUUCAGCAGGGCUGACUCGCCCGUCCUCCCGUUCGUCUUGUCUUCGGCAUCGUCCGGAGUAUUGUUUUCUCUCGUGUUGAUAUUGCUAUCUUUUCCACGGUGUGAUUUAGAGCGGCGCCGCUGACGUUGGCGUUUUUGCUGUGUCUCAGGAGGUUUAUCCUCAACUGGAUCCUUCACGUUAUCGCCAUUGUUCUCUUUAGGUGUAUCCACCAUGUACACGUCGUACGAAGAAGUGGUCGUCCAGCGCCCGGUAAACGGCGGGUUUUGGCAUCGUCGUCCAUACCGUCGAUGUCUUCGGAGCCGCAAUAGAGCAUGUCGGUUAAGUCUUCGACAGUGGAUAUGACGUGGGCGGUGGGUGGGAAGCGAAAUUCUCCGUCAUCAGCCUCCAGUUCGAACCGGAUAUAAUUCGGCUGUGAGUCCCCCGCUAAGGAGAGUGUUUUUAAUGAGCUUAGCACAUCGCCUAAAGGUGAGUGCCGGAAGAUGUUCGCGGAGCUGAAUUCGACAAUCGAUGCCUGAUCAAGCUCGACGUACGCGGAUGCAUGUGGUUCGAAACCUGUAGCCGGAAACGAGUCCGAGGUUCCGGUGGCACAGAUUCCACUCGAGGUUGGGUCUGUGUGCGGCUCCAACGCCGCUGAGUCUGCGGCUUCCGUGGCGGGGUUGAGCUUUCCGUCCUCGGAUGGCACGAUCUGCUCCGGAUCUAGGGCUAGAGCAGUCACAGGCACUAUCUCCUGGGUAUGGUCCGAUGACAGAUUUAAGUCAUGCUCAUCGCAGUGGCACGGAGCGGCUACCGUGGGCUCGAAUAUAUCGAAGAUCAAGUCUCCGCGGAUAUCAGCGACGUAGUUCAAGCUUCCAAAUCUGACCUGGUGGCCAGGGGCAUAGCUGUCGAUCUGCUCUAGAUGGCCAAGAGAGUUGGCCCGCAGUGCGAAGCCGCUGAAUACGAAGAUCUGUCCGGGAAGGAAGACUUCCCCCUGGACAGCAUUGUUGUAGAUGAUUGACGGGGCCAUCGAACCUCUUGAUGACGAUGCAGGGGAACUCUCAAUGAAAGCACCAAUGUCGGUGUCAAAACUGGCGGAUCUCGGGUAGGGGGUCCCGAACUAUGUGUCUAAGGUUGAUGGUAACAGGAGACGGGGGACACGACGUUUACCCAGGUUCGGGCCCUCUCUAUGGAGGUAAUACCCUACUUCCUACUUGAUUGAUCUUGAUGAAUAUGAGUAUUACAAGAGUUGAUCUACCUCAAGAUCGUAAUGGCUAAAACCCUAGGAGUCUAGCCUGUAUGAUUAUGAUUAUCCUUAUCCCUACGGACUAAACCCUCCGGUUUAUAUAGACACCGGAGGGGACUAGGGUUGUACAAAGUCGGUUACAGAGAAAGGAAUCUUCAUAUCAGGGCGCCAAGCUUGCCUUCCACGCCAAGGAGAGUCCCAUCCGGACACGGGAGAGAGUCUUCGGUCUUGUAUCUUCAUAGCCCAUCAGUUCGGCCCACGUACCAUAGUUCGGAAGCCCGAGGACCCCUUAAUCCAGGACUCCCUCACCAACCUAUUUGAGAAAGACAUCAUAUAGUUUUGUCAUGUCAUCCUGUUUAGAUACUCAUCAUAUGUUGAAUUAUGCCAUUAUAUCCUAUUAAGUUAUCCAUCAUAUAUCUGAAACUGUGUCAUGCUAUCCUAUUUAGUUAGGCAUCAUAUAUGUGAAAUUGUGUCAUGCUGUCCUGUUUGGUUAGACAACAUAUAUCUGAAUUACCACAUCUGUCUAUCAUACAAUGUCUGUACGUUCAAUUUCUUUUCUUGUUUAUCAGCCAUUUGAAUUGGAGGGGGUGAUGUCAGUAUCUAAGGGAGCAAACACCCGUUCUUCACAAAAGACAGUGAUACCCGUCGAUGCAGAUAGAACCAUGGUUAUACUGGCCCACAAACUAGCCCCACCACACAUAAUCGAGACUCUUCCAGAUUGCACACUUACACCGUUGGGCAGAGAACCAGCUACAACCCAUCUAACCCCAACCCCAGCGGAUAGUAACCCACUUCUAGUUGACAAAGCACCAUGUCCACCACAAAGUACCCCCACACGAGCAGCUUGUAAAGCAACUGCAGUGCCCAAAGCACGAAGACCACCACAGCAAACCCAAACUCCACGUUUAAAGCAGAAGAGCAACUAUUCUCAGGUCAGAUUCCGUAGCUAUGGUCCAUACUCCUUUGCUAUUGCAUCACUGUAUUUACUCAUACCAACUACUUUCGAAUUUGAAGGAUCCAAUUGAAACUCCAACGACGCAACAGGUAUGUUUUAAACCUAUUUCUUUAACUGGAUUGCUGUUCUAACUUCUUGCUCUAUGUUGAUUUCAGUUUCAGUUGUAUAAACAGUUAUGUUCUCAUGUGAUGCACAUUACAAGUGUUGCCAAUGCUGUGUAGUUUCUGACACUUAUAUUCUAUCUAUGUUGAUGUGUCUUAAAAAUAUAUGAGUUGAAUUGUGUCUCUAUCUUGAUUAGGCAACAUAAACUGGAAUGAUAUGGACAAUACAGUGACCAUAGUACAUACAUAUAUGUUUGUUUCAUGAUGUUAUCCUAUCCACCUUACUACUGAAUCGGUUUACCAAAAUGAGUUUCGUAUACUACAUGCUAAACCUGUGAUGUGUCUGCUUGUUUCUCUUGUAGUAUGCGAACAGAAUAUUGGAGAAGAGCACCCCACUAUGCAAUGGUAGAGUAAGUAAUGCAGAUAAGGUUCAAGAUAGUGAGACAACCCUGUUGGUCUCCAAGAAAGGUGAUAAAACGAUCUUGUAGACAGUGAGAAAACCCCACAGUCCUGUGUUGAUGUAGUGUUCGAGUUACUGGCCAGUACCACUGGCACAAGCUCUUCGAACUCGCUGCCUGAAUCACUUCGGCUUCUUCAGUCUCAGCUACAAGCUAAAAGGCAUCAGUCAGCUGUGCUGCAGCAAGAAGCCGAAUGACUAAGGAAGUCCUUGCAGAAUUCAGAUGCAUACUUUCUGGUGCAACAGCAAGUGCUGGAGGAUUUAAGCGCCAAACAAGAGAAAGUUAAUAAGCUUGCUAAGCAUCUUGCCAGCAUUAUGGGUACCCAGGAUAUUGUUUCUUGAGCUCUUCUGAAGUGGUUUCAGUUCUGGACUUGUUUUCCUGCGGCGUUUAUUUGCACUGGUCGCCAACUUUGACAACCAGUGUAUAUGAUAUGCUGCUUUAUUCCCUAUAUUUGCACUGGUGGCGAACUUUGAUGCCCAGUGGAUGUAAUAUGUGUAAUAGCCGUGAUAGCCUAGCAUAAGUUGCUUGCUUAUUUAUUUCCUUGUUGUCUUGUUUAUUUGUUUGCUUGUAGUCAGUGCAGUUCUUUUUUCGCGGUUUGCUAGUGGCCGCAAUAACCUAUUUUUUAAAACUAGGCCACAACAACCAUGGGCUACAUAUUUACUGUAGUUACCAUGGGCCUCCUACUGGUCGUAGAAACAAUGGGCCUUCUUAGGGCCGUAGAAAGAAUGGGACUUCUACGGGUCGUAGCAUCAAUGGGCCUUCUACGUGUCGUAUGAUCGAUAGGCCAAACAUGGGCCAAUAACAGACCGCAUUAUGGGCCGUAAACGGGAGAUUUGGAAUCGUCCUUUCAUGGGCCGACAAUAACAGGCCAUCGUUAAUCGGCCGUAUUUGAUGACGUUAUGAAAACAGCCCAAUGGAGUAACGGGCCGCAAACGGGCCGAUUGUAACUGCGGGCUAAUUUUAGCCCAUAGGCAGAAAAGGCCAAUUACGGGUCGUAAGUAACCGAAUGCUGGAAAUGAGCCCAAGAAUAAAUGGGCCCUGAGAAGGCCAAAAGAUAACACGGGUUGGAAAUGGCCCAAUGGAAUAAUGGGCCGUUAAUGGGUAUAAAGGGGUACACUAUUCAUUGCGGGCCAGAUUCACCACGGGCCGUUAAUGGGCCAAGAGUUACAAAUGGUCUCGUAUGGGCCGAAAGACAUCAUGGGCCAUACAUGGGCCGGAAGUUACAAUGGGCUGGAAUCAUAUUGGAAGGCCCAGAUGAAGCUACUGGGCUUAAUUCGGAUAGGUCAUAACGGGCCGUGAGUUACCGGGCCGUAAAUGGGCUAUAUACGAACAGGCCGUUAACAGGCUUUCCGUGGGCCAGCCCGUUACCUUUUGACCAAGUCAAACGGGCCGGCCUUUUCACCGGAAUGGGCCUCUAUUGGGCCGUGCCACGUGUCGACGUAUCAUAGGCGCCUCCUGUCCAAUGAAUGGAUGACAUCUGUCCCAACGGUGAGCCAACACGUGUUUCCUCCGGCCAAUGAGAAUUUUACACGUGGAAAAUCCUCAUUGGUCCGGGCUGUUAGCGGGUUAUCGGAUCCAAAACCGGACCCGAUAGCUUAACGGCGUUCCGUUACGGUGAAUGCCACGUGUCGGUCACCCUUGAUGAAAGCACUUCCAUGGCGCGUGAUUUAUCGUCAUGGAAGUGGACACUUCCGUGAUGAUAAUUUUGGUAAUGUCAUGGAACACUUCUACAACAGCAUAGGUAUGACUAUCUUGAUUCUGUCAUAAAUUUGUCAUGGAUGUACAUGCAUGACAGAAAACGUGACCUACUGUGACAAACACGUAUCAUCACGGAAGUGUCUUUUUUUGUAGUGGUAGAUGAACACAUCGAAUCUAGGACACAGACUAGAAACAUGAAUUCUACCACGAUUUCGAAUAGGAAGGACAGAAACACAUACGGUGCAACGGGAGCAGCACCGUUGGCGUUGAGGUUGUCGCCCAUGUCGUUGAGGAAGAGGUUGCCGAGGUCGGGGAAGAAGUCAUCGUCGAUGAAGUCGUCGCUGCCAGCAGUCGCGAGAGUGCGCUCCCCAAAUUUCAACAGUGCCCGCCGAAUGGAGCGCAGGAGGGAGUGGCUGUAGGGGAGGUUGCGGCGGCCGAAUGGAGCGCAGGAGUAGCACACGUAGCAGUAGAUGGUGCUCCUCCCUAUAGUCUCUAUCUCUACUCUUAUCUCUAUCUCUACUACUCUUCUUUCUUUUUUAUAAUAUACUAGUAGCUGUCAAAUCGAAGAAUACUGUACCGCCCGCUGCACUCCCGGCUGAACACGCCUCCUCACCUCCAUCAAACCCCUCCGUUAAACCCGCAUGCAAACCGAGAAACCUACUCCGGCCCACGGGAGGAAAUUUGCCGGUUGCCGUUGGAGAAUAAUAGACUCAUGUCCAAUCCAUUUGAGUUAAUUGCGUGUAUGAUUCUCCCUCUAUAAAAGUUAAUUGCAUCCUUAAUCUUGUAUUCUAAGUACUUUGUGGGUUCCACUGUCAAUACAGUGUACAUUACUUGCAGGCUGGCUACAGAUUUGUACAGAAAGUUAGAAAGAAACGAAUCCAUACUUAAUCUUGUAUUCUAAGUACUCUGUGGGUUCCACCCCCAGUACAGUAGCGAAAGAAGUACUCCCUCCGUCCCAUAAUGUAAGACGCUUUUUGACACUACAGUAGUGUCAAAAGGCGUCUUACAUUAUGGGAUGGAGGGAGUAUAUAUUAAAAAAAAAUAAAAAGCUACAGUUUAGGACAGAAUUCGAACUCAGGCCAUCGCGCUGCAAGCAUCCGACCCGGACUAGUACACCAGGUGUUCGUUGCGAACCAUGCAGGAGAUAAACCUUUAUAGCAAUGAGCCCGUCGGUUGCAACGGAUCCAAAGUAGAAUAAUACAUAUUCACAAAUUUGAAAGAAAACAGUUUAGUUUUGAUAUACAUAUCACUAAAAAUAUCUUAUGUUUCACUCCAAAUAUAUUCUUUGGGUUGUUUUGAUGAGGUAAGGGAGGAAUGUGGUUGGUUUCUAGAUACUAAGGGGUUUUGUGUAAACUGGAGCAGAGAAGUGGGAAUUGUUGCAAAAGGCCACAACUUACAUCACAGCCAUUAGAUGCAGAUCUAAUGGUCAGAAAUGGUGGAUGGCAGACACACCAUCAUCACCAACUGAGUCUUUUAUAGGAGUAUAUAAGUAUAAGUAAUAUAGGAGUAGGAGUAGAGAAAAAACCGAGUUGGUGAUGAUGGUGUGCCUGCCAUCUUAUAGUAUAGACCGUCCGAUCUAUAUAUGAUGGAUAGAAAGCAAACUAUGACAAUUUUACAAAAGAUACUCACACCUCUCUCCACAUUUACAGAUAAGGCCUUGCCUCGUUCAUCCUUAUCUCCCACAACCUCAUUGCCGAGCAAUUAAAAAAGGAAGUCUCUGGAACAAUCUGGCAUGGUGGCCGCUGCCGGCGCCGUCCAUCCCCAUGCCUCCGCCCAGUCCGACCACCAGUCACCACCACACCCCACUCCUCCUCACCUUAUUUAUCAUCUUUCUCGAGAUAUCAUUUUUUCGAUGAAAUGGUUGAGAUACCAUGUUUCCGAUAAAAUUCUCGAGAUAUCAUUAGUUUUUACACAUGGGAUUACUCCUGCAUGGGUCAAUCACAACAGGUGUUUUGUAAAAAAAUGCAUCUUGAUGUUCCGUGCAAUGCAUGUGCAUCUUGCUAGUUUUUUUGCAUAUAAUUCCAAACACCACGUAGACACGGUCUUUGACCAUUUUACAACUAUGUUAGUAUCAUUGUUAGUGGUCGUCCUUGGAUGUUCGGAGCUCUUCUAGCUCUUUGGUAGUUCGUCUUUUGCUUCUUGUUUUCUCGAAUACUUUGAUGUAUCGCAAAUGACUUUCAGGCUUGGUUUCCCUUAAUGGAAAUCGGAAGGGGGGAAACCCUUCUUUGAUCAAAAAAUCAUUGUUAGUAGUUAGCCGGUGCAAGUUAUAGCCCCAGGUGUUUUAAACUUUUUUAGUACUGAUAUCUGGCGAUUGUUCGCCACGAGCUCAAUCAUGGCGAAUCCCACGUAACCACCAGAUUUCCAUCCAACGGUGGCCUGUUUUUAAGCCAUAGUAUUUGACAAAACCGCCACCCUUACACACGUACUGUAACUGCGUCGCGGGCGUUUGCAAGUGCCAUGUCUGCCAGCGAAUGUUUGCUGGGGAUUGGAGUUAGCACCGAUGGCGGUUCGUAGUCGUUCCAUGCUCAGGCAUUGAAGUUUGUAACUAUUUUAGAUUAGAAUAUACUAAUCCUCCGGUGCUAGUAGUAGAGCAGAGUCCUGCUCCACUACUACUCUAGUCAAGCAAGUUAGGGCAUAGUAGUAGGUACUGUAGGGAGUACCAGUACUGUGAUCACUCAAGCAAGUUGUCUGGCAUUGAUAUGACCCUACUUUGUUGGUACGUGUCUCGUAAGUCAAUCGGCGUGCUGUAGUCAUCAUCACCUGUCCACUUCCCACAGCACAUAUUCGCUUCUCCAUCUUGUCCGCACAUAAUUGUCCAAUCUUCCAUCCCCGCUAAGGCACCUCCCCCCUCUUCCGAAACCCAAGCACUAACAAUGGCAGAAACGAGCAGCGUCCGCCGAAAGAGUGGCUGGAAUUCGCUCCCCACAGAGGUAAUCAAGCUCAUUGUUUCGCGUGUGGACAAUCUCAGUACCAUGCUGCUCGCCGCGUGCUCGUUGGGGCUGUACCGUUUACUCAAAGCCCUCAGGCCGGAGCUUUUUAAGCCAGCUCCUUGCUUGCUAAUGCCGCCUGAUCUUCAGAAACGGCGUGUCAUGCAGCAUAACGAUUGUAGGGUGGCGAGCAUCAACCCUCUUGACUGCGAUCCGAUCCCCGUCACCCUCAAAUACAUUAACGGUAUGUACUGGGUCGGCAUGAACACGUCUUGGGUGGUGCUCGUCGACGGUGGCGGCAGCUGGAUGCUCGUGGAGGUCUACACCCGGCGAUUGAUCCCCCUUCCUUCGAUUAACACUGCACUGCUUUGGCACCAUGGCCCAGAAUACUUGGAAUCUUACAUUAGCCAACAUGAUACCAAGUUUGAUUUGCUCAAGGUUGUAAUCUGCCAAGUGCCCACAAGAUCCGUGAAUUAUAAAGACUUCAGGCUAAUUGCGUUCUUCAACUGCGGUCUCGCCUAUCUGACAGGUCACUGCGGUAAGUGGAUAAAUCUGCACGUCCAUCACAGGAUCAUACAUCCUCCAUGGUUCUCUGAUGCCAUUGAACACAAGGGCUUCAUUUACGCUGUCGACUCCUUCUAUGGCUGGACGUAUUUCUGGCCUACUCCAGUCAUCGCUACAAAUGACUGUUAUAGCAGUAUGUUACUUUCCUAUGAUAUCAUGAUGGCUUGCUUAUAUUACUAUCAACAUUUACUGAAAAAAUAUUCAUGAUCAUAACAUGUUGUUCUUAAGAUUGACUACAUUAAGAGCCCUGUUUGACUCCAACUUGAUAUGAUGUUGUAGGACGCCUGGUGUCCCUACCCUUCCUAAUCCGAGAACCUUUCAAAGAAAAGUGGCAUGGCAGUUGUAGGUGGUUCUUGACUCGAUCAGACAAUCGUUCGCACGUACCGGACGUGUUGUUUCGCGGAAUACAAUCACAGUCACUGCAAGGUCUUUGAGCAGGAUCCCAGCUUCUUUAGGCCUUCAGGAAUUUUUGACUGGAGGCUAGUAAGUAGCCUUGGUACACGCUCUCUGUUUCUCGGACUGAAUUAUCCGAUUAACCAGGAGAUAACCGACGGCAAGGAUCAUGAUGGCAGCGUGGUUUCGUUCAUCAGGCAAAACUGUGUGUACACAGCGUACCGUGCGUCUCUGCAUGCACCAUACCUUGAUAUGUGCCACCACGCUCUGUAGCCCAAAGUAGGAGAGAGGGUCGCAAGUAUCAGAAUUCGACCUGCUGGCUGGAGUUUCCCCCGUCAGGCACCCAUCUGGUUCAAGCCGUCAGCCAAUCUCCACAGCUUAAUAAAUAGUAGCGUCUAACUGAGCCAGUUAGUUAGAUGCGUACACUUGGUGUAGUAGGAUCUUUGUUUAGUUUGAUGCAUACACUUGUUCUUUUUUGGUAGCCCUUUUGUAAUGAUGGCUGAUGUUUGGUUUGGAAGAGAGAGCUGCGUCUUUACUCUUCUGGCCUACUUACUGCUUCUGUUGCACCCCCAGCCUUGGUUGCUGCUGCUGUUUUCAAUGUACAAUCAGUAGUAUAUUUCGUCUGUUGGUUGAAUAAAUGUGUUGUUAGAACGACAAACACAAUGUUUUGGAAGUCGUUGAACGGUCCGAUCCUUUAGUGCCCCGUACCGUACGUAGCGCAUACUAUUUUUUGUAGGAACACAUUUUCCACUUGUUGAUAACAUGCAACCCACUGAUGAAGGCCCAAUAGAGGAGCCCAUAAUUAACUGGAAGGGAGGCUCUCACAUGAAUCUGGCCCAGGUACAUGCUCAUGGUCCCCUAAACAUAAAUAAGUAAAUAAAUAAAGCUAAAUGCUCAUGCACCAGUUCUUUAAAUUCAUGAUUUAAUAGGAGGAUAUUAUUUCCUAUGAUAGUGUCGUUACAUUCAGUCGAUAUAAUUCUUUGGCAAAGAUAGCGACCAGUCUUCUUUCUCCCACCAUUUUCUUCCUGCAACCAGCGGACCCAUGCAAAUCGUAGUCAAUGUCGUAAAUAGUUCCAGUCCAUUUUUAUUUUUCAAUAAGAAUGUCCAACCCAGCCCAGCACAUUGGCGACAGCACUUUAUCCUCCACCUUGGUGCGCUCGCCGCGGCGCCACCGUCCGGCCCUGUCAACAUAGUGAAUCGGGAGACGACUGUAGAUGUGAGCAUGACAGUACAAACCCACCAGGUCCACUCCCGAAAACAAGCAAAGCCCCUCUUUUUUUACUCUAAUCCACCCUGCUAAUAUCUAGGACCCACAUCAUUUUCAACGUAUAGUCAAUUAACGAUAGAAUUGCACAAAAAAUUGAGGAUUUGUUCGGAGGAGCAGGCUAUAAACUGGGUUGGGCGGUCUCUAUGGCCCGUCUAACAACACGACCAGCCGAGCAGUUUUUUCUUUGGGAAAAUAGGUAGGCCACUAUUUCUUUUUGAAGAAUACCCAAGCUAGGCCUAUUUAUUUUCUCCGACUUACUGGGCUGCAAAUCUUUCAAGACAAGGAGGGAUGCAUUCUGGCCUGGCCAAAGAGUUUGGUCAGUAUCUGUUAAAAGUAAAUGGGAAAAUUAGUUUCUUUUUUGUUUUUGUUCUUCACUGAGAUUUUAUAUUUCAUUGGAUUUUAACAUGACAUAGUACUAAUUUAUUUUUAAAUUUGUUUUAGUAUGGCUAAUAAUUUUUGGAUUAAGAAUAUUUUGUUCCCCAGCAAAAAAUUGCGAAUUUUCAAAAUUUCGCACAUUUUUAGUUCAAUUUUUUAACCCUGGUACUGACGAGAAAAUGGGCAGCAAUUCUAAAAAUGGAAAAUGGGCUGCAAUAAAUUCCAUAUGAAUGAGAAAAUGAGUAAAAAUUAUAAAAAUAAUAGCAAAUGGGAUGUACACGCCACAAAUUUCGAGGCUGACUUGUUUACGCAAGGUUUUGUCAGUCAACACACGAUUCUAGCAGCAGUGACUGUUGGAUGUCCAUCCAACGGCCGACGUGCUUCUGCAAUCUCUGAUCUUCCUCCUCCAGCCGCCUAAACCAGCGCCGGCGGUAGUGCCUGCUCCGUCCUCUUGUGGCCUGCUGUCAUGCCGCGCAGGCUUCACCGGCCCACCCUACUCCCUCCGCUGGCUUGGCCGCACGCAAUCAACUGCCUCCUUAUUACGCGGAAAAAAAUGAUUCCUCCCACUGACAUCUGGGCCGCAGUGGUUCGAAGGCUGACCUGUGGGCCUACUAAGUUGAUGCGUACGCAGGGCUUUGUCAACUUAGUCAACAAACAAUUCUAGCAGCAGUGACCGUUGGAUUGAAUCGAACGGUCCUACUGUUUCUUCAAUCGUUGCUCUUCUUGCACCAGCCGCCCAAACCAGCGCCGGCAAGACCACCUGCUCCUGCCUCCAGUGGCCGGUUGUGCUGCCGUUGAGGCCUCACCGCCCCCUACUACUCCCACCGCUGGCCAGGCCCUGCGGCGACGGCAGGCUCACACCGCAGCCGAACCAGUGAAACCUCGUACUCCUCUCCGCGUGGGCAUCCACUGCCGCGUCUUCCCCGGCUCCGCGUCGUCCCCUUCCUAGGCCUCACCGUCGUCCACCGCCCUGGUGCUCUCGGCGCGCUGUGGUCAACGUGGUCAACGAACGACAUCCAUCGGACAUGGACUUUACGUGGAGAGGCUGACAGCUGGGUCCAUGGCCGCACACAAGGAAAUGCCUCCUUAUUACGCGCAAAAUAAUGAUUCCUCCACCUGACAUCUGGGACCCACCAGAAGGGCCUCUGUAUUUCGCAAAAAAAAUGUUCCCCUGCUAACAGGUCGGACCCACCAGCUAUAUCUUCGCACGCAAGGAAGUGCAUCCUUAUUACGCACACAAAAAUGAAUACUCCCCCUGCUAGCUGGGACCCAGCUUAGUGGGAAGCUGACAUGUGGGCCUACUAAGUUGACGGGGACGGAGGGCUUUGUCAACUUAGUCAAUAUGAACGAUUCUAGCUCCAGUGACCGUACGAUGUCCAUCCAACGGCCGUAGUGCUUCUUCAACCUCUGGUCUUCUUGCUCCAGCCGCCCAAAGCAGCGCCGGUCGUGCCGCCUGCUCCUGCCUCCUGUGGCCGGUUGUGCUGCCGUGGAGGCCUCACCGCCCCCUACUACUCCCACCGCCGGUUAGGCCCUGCGGCGACGGCAGCCUCACACCGCAGCCGAACCAGUGAACCCUCGUACUCCUCUCUGUGUGGGCAUCCACUGCCGUGUCUUCUCCGGCUCCGCGUCGUCCCCUUCCUAGGCAUCGCCGUCGUCCACCGCCUUGGUGCUCUCGGUGCGGCGUGGUCAAUGUGGUCAACGACCGACUUCCAUCGGAAGAGUACUGUACGUGGAGAGGCUGACAACUGGGUCCACGGCCGCAGCAAGGAAGUGCCUCCUUAUUACGCGAAAAAUAAUGAUUCCUCCACCUGACAGCAGGGACCCACCAGACGGGCCACCGUAUUUCAUAAAAAAACGUUUCCCCCUCACUACUGGGACCCACUAGCUACAUCUUCGCACGCAAGGAAGUGCGUCCAUAUUACGGGCAAAAAAAUGAUUCGCCUCCUGACUGCUAGGACCCACCAGCUACAUCUUCGCAUGCAAGGAAGUGCCUGACCGUCGGGACCCACCUGAUCGAAGCGUACGUAGCAUUGUCAUUCUGGUCACGAUCGUGUACGUACAUACUGGUCGAUGUAGAGGCGCGCACGUAGCAUGUACAAGUACGUACAGCGGCCAGGGUGCAAGAAAGAAAAUACGGCCACAUACGUACAUACGGGCGGGGUCUCGAACGCCUACUCGCGCAUACGUUUGGCCAGGGCUCGUGUACAUGGCUGGGUCGGAACGAAGAAGUUGCACCAUCGUCGUGAUCAUGGGGAGGCAACCGGCUGGGUCGGAACGGAAUGCAUCGUCGUGUUCAUCGGGAGCCAACCGGCUUGGACGGAACAGCCAUGGAAACGAGGCCUGGCGUACCGCAGAAAGGAGGAAACGGCCUUGUGUUCGACCGGCCACGGUCGAAACGGGCUCCUGUUCAUCGGUAGGGGUCUGGCGUACCGCAAAACGGAGGAAACAGACCUCCUACGGUCGAAACGGGGUCCUGUUGAUCGGGAGGGGUGUGGCGUACCGCAAAAUGGAGGGAACGGACUUGUGUUGGAGCGCUACGAUCGAAAUGCGGGUCCUGUUCAUCGGGAGGGGUGUGGCGUACAGCAAAACGGGACUCCAUGGGAUACUGUUCAUCUCCACCGUCGACUGCCUCCACGGGCUAGUGUUCAUCCACCGUCGACUGCCUCCACGGGCUACUGUUCAUCCACCGUCGACCUCCUCCAGCCUCCACCUGCGACUGUUCAUCCACGGGCUCCUGUUCAUCCAGCCUCCACCGCGUGCUCCUCCACCGGCUACUGUUUAACCAGCCCUCUUCACUGGGUCCUGUUCAACCACCCCUCCACGGGCUACUGUUCAUCCAGCCCUCUACCGGCUACUGUUCAACCAGCCCUCCACGGGGUCGUCCUAUUCAUCCAGCCCUCCACGGGGUCCUAUUCAUCCACCCCUCCAUGGGGUCCUGUUCAUCCACCGGCUCGAUCGGUCGGGGUCCUGUUCAUCCAGCGGCAACGGCCUCUACUACCACGGGGUCAUGUUCAUCCAACCACCCACCGGGAACUGUUCAUCCAAACCCCCCAACAAUGCUCACUGUUCAUCAAGGGAACGAGGCAGCAGUGUUCGAUCGGCUUCAGUUAGUAGCAGUAGCGAAGGAAUCACUCGGGUUCAGUUAACAGCAAGGGAUCGAUCGAUCGCUCAGUUUCAGUAAUGCGUAGCCUGCAGUGCAAUCGCUCGGGUUUAGUUAGAGCCCAACGCCUCGCUCGGGUUCAGUUAGAGCGCAACGCCUCGCAUACACGCGCGUACGUAUGAGAGAAACGUGCAUCGCUCGGCCCCCGACCACCCACCGUAACCGGGAACUCCCCGAUAUUUUCCUCGCCCUCGCUUUCUACCACGGUUUUUUCCAUCAUGGACGGCCCAAAGAAUGUCAUGCGGCUGCGUAUCCGGCCCGCCCAGGACGAAAAGCCCAUUUUCUGUCAUGAUUUUUUGUCAUAGAAGUAGGAGCCCACAUCAUCUAUAAUGAUACCGGGUUUUGUCACAAUUAUCAUCAUAGAAGUGUCAUAAGCAUGACAGAAAAAAUUUGUUCGGCCCAAAAUGUCACGGAUGUGUCUUUUUUUUGUAGUGCAAGCCCUUUUGAGGAGGCUUCUUGGUGAAGUUGUUCUUGCUAGGGAAAGACUUGGCUUUGUCUUUGCGAAUGAGUUUGCCACCAUUGUCUUCCCUCUUCUCGUAAGGGCAAUCCGCCACAAAGUGACUCACAUUGCCGCAAUUGUAGCAAGUCCUUACUUGUUGCUUGUUCUUUGACCCACUUGAGUUGUUCUGAGUGAAGUUGGGCCUUGAGUUCCUCUUGUUGCUCCAAAAUUGCCUUGACGCAAGAGCCAUGUGCUCAUGGUAAGCAUAUUUGGUGUCCUCGGGGCCACACUCUUCUUCUUCCGGAAUGGCCAUGGCCUUCAAAGCAAGGGUGGGAGUGCUUUUCUUUGACCGGACACGACCAAGAGCAUUGUCGGCGGUCUUGUUCAUGAUGUUCAUGGCAAUAAACUCAUCCAACACUUCACUUGAGGUUAAGGUGUGAAAAUCCGGCCUUUGACGAAUCACAGAAGACAUGGCCUUGUUGAAUGGCAUGAUGGCCUUGAGAAACUUGCGCUUGAUCCAAGUGUCAUCUGUAUCCUUGCUCCCAUGGUCUUGGAGAGCAACCGCAAGAGUAGUCACCCUCCGGUAGAGAUCACGCGGAUCCUCAUCUUCUAGCAUCAUGAAUUCAUCGGCCUCAUCAAGGACCACUUCAAAGUUGGACCGUUGGAUGUUUGAGCUCCCCUUGUACAUAGAAACAAUGUGCUCCCAAUAAUCCUUUGCACGAGUGAAAGGAUGUAAGUGAGAUAGAUCUUCGGGUGGGACCGCAUCUUGAAGGAUGAACAAAGCGGAGUGAUUGUAUUGAUUGUCCACUUCUUCUCUUGGGAUGAAGUUGUUUGGAUCAUGCGGGUAGAAGCCUUGCUCAAUGAUUCUCCAAAGGUUAGUUGAGUAGUGGUUCAAAUGAGACUUAAUACGAAAGACCCAAUUAGCAAAAUCACCCUUAACAAGUUUGGGAGGAGGACCAUGAUUAUUAAUGCGAGGUGUAGAGACCGGUCCUCCAUAGACCGGGGGAGGGGGAACUGAGGCAAAGGUUCCCGUCCCAUUCUUGUUGUGAGAGGAAGAGACAUGAGUACCUUUAGCCACUUCCUUAGCGGAAUUGGCCUCCGACUCUGAUGCGGUGGUAUUGACAACAAGCAAAGGAUCGGGAGAAGCUUUCAUCCCCUCAAGCAAUUCUUUAAGCAUAGACUUGACUUUGGUCAUCAUAGACGUCUUAAGUGAAGCCAUAGCUUUAUUUAAGUCGUCUCGUGUGAUGGAAGUCAACUCUACAGCCUCGAGCACUUCCUCCCCGGUGUCAACCAUACUCUUUGGGUGGUGAAACCCUUAAUAAAGAGACGAGGCUCUGAUACCAAUUGAAAGGAUUGAUAUGGUUGACUAGAGGGAGUGAAUAGGCAACUACCAAUUUUUAGCUUUUCUUAACAAAUUAGGUUUAGCAACAAAAAAGGUUGUCUAGAUGUGCAACUAGGUGAGCAACCUAUAUGAUGCAAACAACAAAGUUCCUUCCCUUUGGGGGAAGUACGUCUCCGUUGGAGCGGUGUGGAGGCACAAUGCUCCCCGAGAAGCCACUAGGGCCACCGUAUUCUCCUCACACCCUCACACAAUGCAAGAUGUUGUGAUUCCACUAGUGGCGCCCUUGAAGGCGGCGACCGAACCUUUACAAACAAGGUUGGGGCAAUCUCCACAACUUGAUUGGAGGGUCCCAAUGAUGCCACGGAGCUUCACCAUAAUGAAAUGUGGCUCCGAGGUGACCUCAACCAUCUAGGGUGCUCAAACACCCAAGAGUAACAAGAUCCACAAGGGAUUAGUGGGGGGAUCAAAUUUCUCUUGGUGGAAGUGUAGAUCCGGGCCUUCUCAACCAAACCCUAGAAAAUCAACAAGUUUGAUUGGUUAGGGAGAGAGAUCGGGCAAGAAUGAGCUUUGGAGCAACAAGCUUGGGGGAAAAGAGGUAGAUCUUCUUGGGGAAGAAGACCCCCUUAUAUAGUGGGGGGGACAAUCCAACCAUUAUCCCCUCAUUCAGCCUGCAGCGAGCGGUACUACCGCUGGCCGCAGAGGUACUGCCGCUCGGCCCAGCGGUACAACCGCUGGGACCGUGCACAGCGCCUAAGGGAGAAGGGACGGAGGAGAGGGCCACUGAGCGGCACUAAUAGCGGUAGUAGGCGCGGUACUACUGCUUACAAGCGGUACUGCCGCUCCUACUGCCGCUGAACCCGACACAAGACACGCAGGUCUCGAGUCGAGGCGGUACUAGCACGAAACCAGAGCCGUACUACCGUCUGUGGCCAUGGACGGUACUACCGCUGUGAAACAGCGGUACUACCGCUUGUGGCUUUCAACCGUACUGCCGCUCCGGGCCGUGGUACUACCGCUGGCGCCUCCCUUAUGCCACUUCCACGAUAACAAGUAUACUCCAAGGAUGAGGGAAGGAGUUGGGGGUGCGAAAGAGAGAUGUGUACGUGUUGAUUCCACCCUAGCCUUUCUGAUAUGCACCCCCUCUUGAUAGUACGAUAUCUCCUACGACUCAAGUCCACCUAAACCGAAACGAAAGAUAACUACACCGUCUUCACUUUGAGCUCCGAGGGGAAUAAAUUGUCUCGUGCCAAUGAAUGAAUAUCUAAAAUGCUCAACGCACACGAUUAGUCCGCAAAUGCAUUGUCAUCAAACACCAAAACCACUUAGAGAGAGAUAUGCCCUAACACCAUGGCAUGCUUGUUGGUUGCCAACUCGAAGGAGAAGAUCUGUUGCAUCUGGUGGUAGUUCUGGAUAGGUGAUACGUCUCCAACGUAUCUAUAAUUUUUUAUUGUUCCAUGCUAUUAUAUUAUCUGUUUUGGAUGUUUUAUAUGCAUUAAUAUGCUUAUCUAUAUUAUUUUUGGGACUAACCUAUUAACCUAGAGCCCAGUGCCAGUUUCUGUUUUUUUCCUUGUCUUAGAGUUUCGCAGAAAAGGAAUACCAAACGGAGUCCAAAUGGAAUAAAACUUUCGCGAUGAUUUUUCUUGGACCAGAAGACAUCCAAAGGACUUGGAGUGCAAGUGAGGGAAGCCACGAGGUGGCCACAAGGACAGAGGGCGCGCCCAGGGCGGUAGGGCGCGCCCCCAACCUUGUGGGCCCCUCGUGACUCCAUCGACCUAUUUCUUGCGCCUAUAUAUUCUCAAAUAUUCCAAAACCAAUCAGGAGAGCCACGAAAACACUUUUCCACCACCGCAGCCUUCUGUACCCGUGAGAUCCCAUCUAGGGGCCUUUUCCGGCAUCCUGCCGGAGGGGGAUUCGAUCACGGAGAGCUUCUACACCAACACCAUUGCCCUUCCGAUGAAGCGUGAGUAGUUUACCACAGACCUACGGGUCCAUAGCUAGUAGCUAGAUGGCUUCUUGUCUCUCUUUGAUUCUCAAUACCAUGUUCUCCUCGAUGUUCUUGGGGAUCUAUUCGAUGUAAUACUUUUUUGCGGUGUGUUUGCCGAGAUCCGAUGAAUUGUGGAUUUAUGAUCAGCUUAUCUACGAAUAUUAUUUGAACCUCCUCUGAAUUCUUAUAUGCAUGAUUUCAUAUCUUUGCAAGUCUCUUCAAACUAUCGAUUUGGUUUGGCCAACUAGAUUGGUUUUUCUUGCAAUGGGAGAAGUGCUUAGCUUUGGGUUCAAUAUUGCGGUGUCCUUUCCCAGUGACAGUAGGGGCAUCAAGGCACGUAUUGUAUUGUUGCCAUCGAGUAUAAAAACAUGGGGUUUCCAUCAUAUUGCUUGAGUUUAUUCCUCUACAUCAUGUCAUCUUACUUAAUGCGUUACUUUGUUCUUCAUGAACUUAAUACUCUAGAUGCAGGCAGGAGUCGGUCGAUGUGUGGAGUAAUAGUAGUAGAUGCAGGCAGGAGUCGGUCUACUUGAUACGGACGUGAUGCCUAUAUUCAUGAUCAUUGCCUUAGAUAUCGUCAUAAUUUUGCGCUUUUCUAUCAAUUGCUCAGCAGUAAUUUGUUCACCCACCUUAAUAUUUUCUAUCUUGAGAGAAGCCUCUAGUGAAACAUAUGGCCCCCGAGUCUAUUUUCCAUCAUAUAAGUUUCCGAUCUACAAUAUUAGUUUCCUAUUUAGUUCCUUUGCAAUCUUUUACUUUCCGAUAUAUAAACCGAAAAUACCAAAAAUAUUUACUUUACCGUUUAUCUAUCUCCAUCAGAUCUCACUUUUGCAAGUAACUGUGAAGGGAUUGACAACCCCUUUAUCGCGUUAGGUGCAAGUUGUUGAUUGUUUGUGCAGGUAUUCGGUGACUUGUUCGUUGUCUCCUACUGGAUUGAUACAUUGGUUCUCAAAACUGAGGGAAAUACUUACUCUACUUUGCUGCAUCACCCUUUCCUCUUCAAGGGAAAAACCAACGCAAGCUCAAGAAGUAGCAAUAGGGGUGUUGAGGAACUCAGCGUCCUUGGGGUGAGCGUAAGAAGAAAUAGGGUAGACAGGGUAGUUAGUAUGGCAAUGGUUCAUAGGCUUGAAUUGUUGGUCUGUUAGAAUGGCAUGGUUUGUGAGCUAACCACGACAUGGCCUUGGUAGUGCUCUACCUCCAGAAGGAUCAAGUAGGUGUCCUCAUCCCAUGAAGCACCACUAAGGUCUCUGAGCUUGGACACUUGGAUCCAUCGAGCUCUCCACUUCCUCAGGUGGUUGUACACCUGGGUCGAGGUGACCUCCUAUCCACAGAAGUCGAACACCUGCUUUGCAAUAAGGUUCAAGUGCACCUCCUUGAAGCCCUUGUCAGUCCUCACCCCACUAGCUAUGAUCUCACACAUCUUGUUAAGCACAAAAGUGAAGAGGAACGGCUGCCACUUCAUGCUAUUCCCCUUGCCAUCCUUCUUCUCCUCUGCUGCUACCUUAAGAGCAGCAACAUGAGCAACAGCAUUGGGCUAAGCCAACACAAAUGGAGGAACCAUAGGCGGCACCUCGAAAACCUCUAAAUCAAGAGGCAUCUGUUCUAGAGGAGGCUGGGGGUCCUUGACGUAGGAUGGCGGGAACUGGCUCUUGGACAGCACGAUGGCCUGACUAAACUCUUGCUUGGUCAUGUCCUACAAACGUAAGUGUCAUCAACACCACAAGACACUACACAUAGACAGUAUGAACUAGCAGUACAAUAUGGACAGAUCGAACUAGCAGUACAUCUUCGACAGAUCAAACUAGCAUUACAUCUUGGACAGAUCAAACUAGCAUUACAUCUUGGACAAAUCAAACUAGCAGUAACACAUGCACAAGCAUACCACAGCAUAACAGAGCACUAAUCAUGGAGAACAGAGCACUAAUCAUGGACACAUGGAUGAUCUUGUUCAACACUUGCACACUAGCAUACCACCGAUUCAUCCAUGACCACUAGCUACCAACACUUCACUGGUACGCGUCGGUGCUAUACAAACGGUUUUAACCCCUUUCCGCGAUGGCAUUUGGAACCAUCGCCAAGUGAGUGUGGGCGAUAGGGGGGUCCUUCCCACACGACCCAGAAACCGUCGGGUAUAGGCCCUCCUGGCACACAGGCUGGGGAAAAAUGAGCUCGUGUGCGAUCGGGCGAGGCAUCGAAACCCAAUCGUUUCCAUUGUAUGUACAUCCCACACGGUGAAUCCCAGAAAAACAUUUCCGUUCUUAUGUAUAUCACACACAGUCAAUUCAAGGAAUACAUUUCCGUUCUUAUGUACAUCCCACACAGUCAAUCGAGGGAAAACGUUUUCGUUCAUAUGUAUAUCACACACAGUCAAUCCAAGAAAUACGUUUCCAUUCUUAUGUACAUCCCACACAGUCAAUCCAGGGAAAACGUUUCCGUUCGUAUGUAUAUCCACACAGUUUUAUGUAUAGGCUCGUGUGUGAAAGGUGUAACUAUCACGCACGCUCUGCCUUGGUUAACCGUUUGCUUUUAUCAACUACACCACACACGAUUUGAUGAAGAAAACUGUGUGGCAUUGGGCUAUCCAUCACAAGCGCUUUUACUGCCAGAACCGUUUGCAAAGUUCGAUGACUCAUUUAGCAGGUUUAUUAGUUUACAAUUAAUAAUUCCAGUAUUACGCAAAUUCACAUUUCAUAUCGAACAGCUGUUUGCCAAUUUCAUACCAGGCACAUAAAUAUAUUUUAACAUCACAGUACAAUAGCUACCUGAAAACAGCACAACACAGCAUAUAGCUAGUUCAACUUCAUAAGAACAAUAUAUACAUUUCCUUAAUCGAGAUCAUCCAGGCACGUCUUAUCCACCUCUGCUUUAAGUUCAGUAAGAACCUGUUUUGCACUGUCCAACUGGAAAAGUGCCUCCUCCUUCGCCAACACCAUCUUAGCAAAGUCUGAUUUAAAAAAAUCUGAGCUCAUUCUCCACCUUCCUCUUUUUAUCCCGCAUCUUCAAAUAUUCUUCAGCAUUGACAACACUUUCUCUAAGCCUACCUCUGUUCUCUUCCUCAUACAUGCUCUAGAGCUUUGUUAGGCACAUCUUCAAAGACUGUGGCCACUCUUGAUCAACCCACUCCAAGUAAGAACACUUCCAUUCAUCCUAUAAUAUUUAAAACUAGAUCGGUAACAAUUGUAGGGGAAAUGUGUUUAUAGCAACAUAGAAAAUCACCAAUAUUUAUUUUGAAAAACUGAAGAAACAGGUUAAUUAUGACAUAUCUUCUCAAAAAGAUCAAUGUGCAAAUGAAUUAAUUGCUACUGAGACAACAACCAAAUUCUAAAACAUCAGAAGCUAUAAGUAACUACAACAACGCUACAAGUUCUUACUCAUGUACUAUAAAUAACAAAUUGAACAUUUUAUGAGGAAUGUAAAUAACUGCAACAGCAUAGCGACAGUGUUUGGAUGACAGCAAAUUGAUACUAACAGGUGUGUACAUGCACAAAAUUAGUAACACUAAACUAAUAGCACUAAGGUCGUCCACUAUGUAUGCCAAAACCGGUGUAAAGACAACUGUUACUACAUCUCGCACCGGAGCCCUGCACUGGCGAGCCGAUGCAGCAGAAAAAAAAUCAGGGACCCGGACUCCGGAGCACCUAGUUGCUCCGAUGCCCAAUUCCUUCGUGUCAUAAAGAUUUAGUAUUUUACUGCUUGGCUGCUCGGAUGUGUGGACCAAAGUUGGCUGCACAAACUGCUGAAGCGGUGCCAAAUAAUUUUCUAAUGGCACCGCUGAUGAGAUGGCAACUUUUUUAGAUACUAGGUACAAACUGUGACACUAUCUUAGGAUGCGUUUGGUUGAAGGUGUGGUAUGAAUGGGUUGGGACCGUGACAGUGUCUGAAUCACAUGUAACAAAUGAUUUGUAACAACGAAAGAGGGUCUCACCUUCUCUGCACAUGCCAGAAACUUCCUCCCACGGUCCAUAGAUUCAAACGCAACUACCUUCACGCAUGGAGAUUGAUGGUGACAAUGAGCAGACAAAUCUUCAGCCACCCCGCUCCAUUCGUUGCAAUUGAUGGUCCUAGGGAGCUACAAGAGCAAGAAAUGACUCAAAUCGACCACCGGGUUAAAAUCCUUCAUUCCAAGUCAUAGCCCGAGAGAGAGAAGAGAGGCAUACCUGGGUGGUGAAGGAGUCGAAGGAGGAGGAGGAACCGUUGGAGAGGUCAUUAAAGAAGACCAUGGUGACCCCGGCGGUAUGCGAGAUGGCGAGAGCGAGGAAGCAAGUGAGGAAGCGGCUAUAGCUAAGGAAGGAAGGAGGAAACAUGGGAAAUGUGACUUGUGGUCGGGAAGAAAAGGGGGUGGGGAAGGGGGGAGGGGCGGGGUAGAUAUUUUGGUGGUAGGCCAAAAUUUUGGAAAUGUGGAGGGAAACUUUGCGCGCGGUGCCGCCGGACACCAUUCACUUUGAACGAUUGUGUGCAUCGCAAACGAUUCUUCUGCUUUACACGCAUGGGAUGAGUUUAAUAAUUCAAAUUUUCAUGGAAAUUUCCCUGGGUUCGUCAUUUCAUAAUUUAACAUCACUUGCUAAUUUGGGCACACAAAAGAGCGUACAGCACACAAACCACGCUUACUGAAUCGAGCAAUUUUAGUAAUUCAACAGAGCCAGUUGACCUUAACAUUGCUCUAACAAAAGACCAGCAUUAAAAACAAAGCCUAAGUACGCAUAAUUUUAACAUAUCCGCCGCCGCGCCGGCCUAUGCAUCGCCGGUGUGAGAUGAGACGUCGAUGACUUGUCCUGGCGACAUGCCGCUGUUGGUGGACUCCGCGUCCCCCCUGCUGAAGCCGACUGCGUCCUCGUCCUCGUCCUUGGCGCCGCCCUCAAGGUUGUAGUACUCGUAGUAGUGGCUGGGCCAGAGCCCGCGUUGGUACUCCAUGGCCGAUUCCUCGACGAACAGACUCUUCUCUACCUCGGCCUCGACCACGCGCAACUCCUCCUCCUGGCGCUCCUCGAUCUCUAUCGCCUCCUGCAUCUCCAGCUCCCGCUCGGCGACCUCAUGAGGAAGCAGGUGCUCCAUGGCCACCGCCGCCUUUUCAAACGUGGGUUGCAUGCUGGAGUCCGAGGUGGCCUGGAAUAUCUUGGCGUGUGCAUCCUCGAUCUUGGUGUGGAUGGCAUCGACCCGGGCCAGGGCCACAUCGGCGGCACGGACGGUAGCUCGAGCGCUCUCGGUGUUUGCAGCCGCCGUUGCAGCAACAGCUGCAGCCGUCUCGGCUGCCGCAGAUGCCCUCUCGGCGGAUGCGGCGGCACUCUAGGCGUAGGCAGACGCGCUCUCGACGAAGGCGGCGGCGCUCGGGGAGGACCCGGCCAUCGUAUGGGCCUUCACGAAGCGUUUCCACGGCGUCAUAUUUGCAAGAAGGGGGUGCGGGAAUGGGGAUCGGGAUUUGUGGAUUCGGGGGUUGCCGAAACUGGAGCAGACGAGCCGGCGAAGCUUAAGGAGGAAGACUUAAAUAGACCCAGAAAUUUUCAUCGCAAACGGUUCCUACAAAAAAUUUGUGUGUGAUGUUGUGGAUAUUUUUUAUUAGCUGUGAAAGACGAAUUUGGAGUAAAGUGGCAACGGAUGGUGUUUUAAAUGUACAAGAAAAUUUGUAGUACUAAUACAACUGUCAUGUAAAAUUUUGGAAAAUUUCAGGGGUCAUUUGACCUUUUAAGACAUUUAAGUGACUUUCUAGCCAUUUAAUGACCGUAAUUCAAAUUUGAACUACAUCUACAUGGAAGAGCUAACCAUAAUGGUUUGAAAAGUCAUAUUUUGUGUACUUGUGCGCGAUUUAAUUCCAUGUGCAGUAAAUUGGAAGAAAUUUUCACAUAUAUUUGUCUAACGGCUAUGACACAUAUAAGCAUGGAGUGCCAUGGCAUUUAAAUUCCAAAAAAAAGAUUAGAAACACAUGAAACCUUGCUUGAUGUAAUGUCAUACCACCAAGAUGAUGUGGUAAAAAAUUGGGCAUGUUUAACGAAAGUUUGGACACACACCCCUCACAAACUAAAGCAACUCACUAGAAGGCUCGUGGUUCCGAGAGGGAACAAUGUAUGUUUGAUGACGCACGGGCGAUAGCUUCCCCUUACGGCCUUCAAAUUUUUUCUACAUUUAACGUGCACUAAUACAACUGUCAUGUGAAAAUUCGGACAGGGGUCAUUUGACCUUUUAAAGACAUUUAAGUGAUUUUCUAGCCAUUUAAUGAACGUAAUUCAAAUUUUAACUACAUCUACAUGCAACAGCUAACCAUAACGGUUUGAAAAAUCAUAUUUGUGUACUUGUGUGCAUGUUAAUUCCAUGUGCAAUAAAUUAGAAGGAAUUUUCAAACAUAUUGGUCUCACGGCAUGGACACAUGCAUGGAGUGCCAUGGCAUUUAAAUUCGAAAAAAUAAAAAAAUGAUCAGAAAAAAGUGAAACCUUGCUUGAUGUAAUGUCAUUCCACCAAGAUGAUGUGGUAAAAAAAUUGGUCUGUUUGACGAAAGUUUGGACACACACCCCUCACAAACCGGAGCAACUCACUAGAAGGCUCCUGGUUCUGAGAGGGAACAAUGCAUGUUUGAUGACGAACGGGAGAUAGCUUCCCCUUACGGCCUUCAAAUUUUUUCUACAUUUAACAUGCACUAAUACAACUGUCAUGUGAAAAUUUGCAAAAUUUCAGGGGUCAUUUGACCUUUUAAAGACAUUGAAGUGAUUUUCUAGCCAUUUAAUGACCGCAAUUCAAAUUUGAACUAUAUCUACAUGCAACAGCUAACCAUAACGGUUUGAAAAAUCAUAUUUGUGUACUUGUGUGCAAGUUAAUUCCAUGUGCAGUAAAUUAGAAGGAAUUUUCAAACAUAUUGGUCUCACGGCAUGGACACAUGCAUGGAGUGUCAUGGCAUUUCAAUUCCAAAAAAUAAAAAAUGAUCAGAAAAACAUGAAACCUUGCUUGAUGUAAUGUCAUGAUACCAAGAUGAUGUGGUAAAAAAAUUGGCCUAUUUGACGAAAGUUUGGACACACCCCCCUCACAAACCGGAGCAACUCACUAGAAGGCUCGUGGUUCUGAGAGGGAACAAUGCAUGUUUGAUGACGAACGGGAGAUAACUUCCUCUGAUGGCCUUCAAAUUUUUUCUACAUUUAACGUGCACUAAUACAACUAUCAUGUGAAAAUUUGAAAAAUUUCAGGGGUCAUUUGACCUUUUAAAGACAUUUAAGUGAUUUUCUAGCCAUUUAAUGACCGUAAUUCAAAUUUGAACUACAUCUACAUGCAACGGCUAACCAUAACGGUUUGAAAAAUCAUAUUUGUGUACUUGUGUGCGAGUUAAUUCCAUGUGCAGUAAAUUAGAAGGAAUUUUCAAACAUAUUGGUCUCACGGCAUGGACACAUGCAUGGAGUGCCAUGGCAUUUUAAUUCUAAAAUAUUAAAAAAUGAUCAGAAAAACAUGAAACCUUGCUUGAUGUAAUGUCAUGCCACCAAGACGAUGUGGUAAAAAAAUUGGCAUGUUUGACGAAAUUUUGGACACACACCCCUCAUGAACCAGAGCAACUCACUAGAAGGCCCAUGGUUCUGAGAGGGAACAAUGCAUGUUUUGAUGACGAACGGGAGAUAGCUUCCCCUUACGGCCUUCAAUUUUUUUCUACGUUUAACGUGCAAUACUACAACUGUCAUGUGAAAAUUUGAAAAAUUCUAGGGGUCAUUUGACCUUUUAAAAACAUUUAAGUGAUUUUCUAGCCAUUUAAUGACCAUAAUUCAAAUUUGAUCUACAUCUACAUGCAACGGCUAACCAUAACAGUUUGAAAAAUCAUAUUUUUGUGUACUUGUGUGCGAGUUAAAAAAUCAUCAGACGAUGUAAAUAUCUGGUGUUCAAAAAAGAAAAUGUAAAGAUCUGGCAAGACAACCGGCCCCCACACGAUUGGCACUCUAUUUCGUGGCUCGAGGUUUGGUAGGUGAGUGGCGGGGGGUCAUUAAUCAGACACGGUUCUGUAUUGGAAACCAUCAGCUAUUAAGUUCACACACGGAUUUUGCUGCGGGAAUCAUGUGUAAUUCAUACUACAGUACUUGUAAAUUCCGGCGACCGGCGUGUGUACUGUUCCCGUCGAUCUAGAUUCUGGUCGCCAAUAAAUACUACCUUGCUCACGUCGUCCCGCCUGCAUUCUCAUCUACAUCCUCUCCUCGCUCGCCCUCUCUCUCUCUCUCUCAAAUCUCUGCCAUGGCGCCGCCGGUCUGCCCACGCGCCGAUGAGGAGUCGCCGCCCCCCGAGGACGCUCACUCGAAUAGCAGCGACGAGGACCCCUACGCACCACCGGAUGAGGUUGCGCCGGACCCCCCAACUUUGGAUUGGUUUUGGGGGCAGUACAAUCUUUGUCUGUGGAAGUCGCUGUCGCCGGCUGAGAAAGCCAGGAAAGUGGCAUUCAAGAAGGAGAUGGCGGAGGAGGAAGCCAGGUACCAAGCGGCCUGUGAAGCCCGUGAUGCCACCUGGAAAAAGGAGGCGGCAGAGCUUUGGGGGCGGGCGCGUCGUCGUGCGGAAGAGGUGUACGAAGACGGGUACUUCGCGAGGAAGGCCAAAGGCGCUGGGCGCCUCAUCACUUCGUGGAGGUGGGCCGAUAAGCUCCAGCAUGCCACCAACGAGGAGCUCCAGUGGGCGCCCAACGAAAUGGCAAGAUCGUUCGCGCUUGUCCGCCAGCAAGAGGUAGAUCGGUACGUCAAGUGCUGCAAGGCGGAGGAGGCAGAGUACUGCCUCCGCACUGGGAAGACGCCGCGCACCAGGGAGCUGCUGGCGAGGGGCUGCCGGAAUACUGGCCCCAGGAGGGAUUAUUAGUUUUAGUAUUGUUCGUUUUUCACUUUAUGCAUGGUAUCUAGUAGUUAAGUAUCAUCACUUAUAUGUGAUGAUAAUAUAUAUAUUAUGUGAUGAACCGAUGAAUAAUUAAUAUAUAUAUAUAUAUAUUAUGAAUUCCAUUUUCUAUCUGUUUUUGUAUACUAAUUUGAAUCUAGCUGUUAUCAUCCACGUAUACAGAAUGGAAAGCGUAUAUACAGACAUUGAAACAGAACAUAUAAGAACGGAAAACAGAGUACACACAUUGAAACAGAGCAAUACUAUGAUUGCUGUGAAUACAUAGCUAUCCACGUCGAAACGACUCAACAAAAUAAAACGCGUCCAUGAGACCAUGACCAGCAACCCUUGCCUACGGUAGCUCUUGGCUCUGCCUGAACUCAUGCAGGCGUUCGUCCAAGCGGUCGACACGCUCGCGGUACAUUUGGAGCGAAAUCUUGAGCUCCAAGUUGGCUAUUUCAUCAGAGGUCACCAGCUCGAGGAUGCGACGGCCAUGUUCCUCUACUGCGCCCAGGUGGACACCUAGGCCAAGGAGGCGGUCGAGCCUACCGACCAGCACGUUGGCAUCGAGCGGGCCGCGAACAAUGCGAACGGCGCGACCCAUGCGAACAGCGCGGCAGGCGUCCGGUGCAAGUACGGCGCAGAGGGCCUCUGCCCACUCCUAGAGAGGAAUGGGGGUACUGGCGGGACGUGUACCCAACUGUGACGCCCUGUUGACAGCAGGCAAGCGUUGAUGGAUCCGCUCUUGCUGUGGGGCGCGCCGCGCCUCUCGCUCUGCGGUGCUCCAACGGUCUCGCCGUGCGGCGAGCCGCAGCCUAUCGGCGCGGAUGCGCCUAGCUUGCUCUACGGUACACCAUCGAUCACGUUGUGCAGCGAGCUGCAGCCUCUCGGCGUUGACAUGCCUAUCUUGAUCCGCGGCGCUGAAGCGCCAUGCGCCAAGGGUCUGCUCAACCCUGGCGAUGACGCGCAUCACGACGUCGUCCAUCGCGUUGUCGGGGAGCUCCUCGGCCUCGACGGGCCGUGGCGCCUGCUCAUUUUCCUCGUCGACGAGGUUGAUGUCAGAGGCGGCGCUUUGGUGGGUUGGCAUGCUUGGAAAAGGUGGAUGUGCUACAGGAUGCGCUUGUUGCCUACGUGCGUCGCGCGCCGCCUAGGUUUAUGUGCAAUAUCGCUGGGUGGCGGGAAACAGGUGAGGAAAUGGCGGAAAAUGGUGGCGUUUUCAUAAAACACCAUCAAUUAAUGGAAACUUAGCAUGUAAGGAACAUCGAGCUAGCACAAGAAGUAGAUGAUGAUCAGAUGAACACGGACCACACUAGGGAACCCAUCGGUGAUGAACUCAUCAAUCGCAAACGGUUGUAUACUAGCAAGCGUUUGCCCACAACACACACAGCUUAUUUCAUCACAAACAGGUCGGAUGGAUCAAGUGUAUGCCACAUAUCGCACAUUGUCAAAAAUUAAUGCGGUAGACCUUCUUUAACAUGUGUUAAAAAACAAGGACCUCGAGGUUAAUUUAACUGAUGGGAUGGAUCAUAUAGGUCAUUUAAUUUGACCUGUAUGACCCAUCCCAUCAGUUAAUUUAACAUCAAGACAACUUCCCAUCCAGUCACCCGUCUGAUGGUUGCUCCAGCCUGAGCACAGUUAACUUGAGAGUUCUCUUAGAUGAGCUAUUGGUGGAACAGCUAGUCCUUACUGAUAUAGGAUGCCUCUUCGCAUCCUUACUACGUACCCGGAUGACCGCCCGUCGCCCAAUGGCCAAUAGAUGUUCUAUAGACAGAGCAUAUCACAUACGUCUUAUUAGAAGCAAUCGUCUGUGUUAUUAUCGGUCUUUGCACACAUUUUUUAUUACAGACCUGUUUGCUGCGUAUCACACACAUCUUGUUAUAUCGAACCGUUUAUGUUCUCUUGUCUCAACACAAACAGUUCAUCCGAGUGAACCACAUGCCAUAUAUCGUACACACCUUGAUCUGGCUGACCGUUUUUUUUGUGUUGCCUAACCACAAACAGUUCAUCCGAGGUGUUGUAUAACGCACACACCUUCAUCUGGUUGCCCGUUUCUUUUGUUCCUCCUCAUCGCAAACAGUUAAUUGAACUGAACCGUAUGCCCUGCAUCGAACACGCAACUAAAAUCUAAACCAUGUUUGAUGCAUCCGUCAUUGCAAACGUUUUGCACCUUUUUGACGGGUUUUUUACACCACCGUUUGCGAUUAUGGCAUCGCACACAGUUUCGUCGAAGGGUCUCUGAUCGUAGUGCCGCGUUAGCAGCAUCCUGCAGUAGUGCUUGCCCACAUGGAAACAAUCCCUAGCAUGCUCCAAAUCCAUCACAACUAGCUACUACACCAUCACAGUCAAACAGAUCGGACGGCCUAACCUUAGAACAUGGACAGAUCUAGCUAUAACUAGAAGAGAGGAGGUGGUGAUUGAACUUACAGAGGCCAUUGGAACGACCGCGUAGGAGGUGCCUGGCACGUCAGAAAGGAGGAGGAGUCGACCCGCCGGCGUAGUCGACCGGUCGCCGGAGUAGAUGCGCCGCUUACCUCGUCGUUGAAGUGGAUCCACGCUGGAGGGAAAGCUCAAGGAGGGGGGAAUGGUGGCUGGAGUUUUGCCGCGGCGGUGACCCUCGAUAUAUAGGGCGACCAAAUCGGCGGGCGGUGACUCGAAUUCGUCCCGUCGCUUUUUGGAUAUGCACCAUCGCUCCCGCCAUCUCCCUCCCAUGCGCGGCGCGGCGCGGCGUUCCCCUCCCCUGCAUCACUCGAGCCUGGCUCGCUGGAAACAACCGAUUCGGUCAUUCCUAGCGGGCCAGGAUGAGGGGUGCUUUGAGGUUCAUGCUAUGCGGACCAAACAAUAAACACAGGCAUCCAAACAGCCAUUUUCAUCCUGUGAGGGCCCGGCUGGGCCUAAUGCAGGCUACCAGACGCGUCCUUAAUGGAUUGUAUGAAACAAUGAAAACUUAGAGAAUGGACAAAACCAAGUGUGUUUGUGCAACACACCUCAAUGAAGUAAAAUAGAAGUUCAUGGUGUGAUCACAACCCGAAAUAGAUGAACAGAUUGUUCAUUAGUACAUGCAACACUAUAAUAUACAUUUCUGCACCAGAGCUCAUCAGAUCUCAGUGAACAGUAAAAUGAAAAAAAAAUACUAGAAAAAUUCAAAAAAAUCUGAACUUUUUUUUGCAAGUAAGAUGUUUGAAUGCGUGAGGUCCGUGCCAAUUUUCAGCACGUUUGAACAUCUGAGUAGCUCUCGGCAAAAAAAGGAUCCAAACAGUGCACGAACAAUAAACUUUUCACAGACCCUGAUUUUAUUUUUUAUAAGAGCUACUCAGAUAUCAAAACACACUCAAAUUGACAAGAACAUCACGCAUUCAAACAACUUUCAUGCCAAAAAAAUUAAAAAAUGUAAAAUUUCUAGUAUUUUUCUAUUUUACUGUUCACGUCGCAGUCGCGCGCCGCCACACUCACUUGCACAAAGAAGGGCCUGGCAGCGAGCUCAAGACAUCAGAAGUGUAUCUUGGAGCGACGGAAGUAGAGCCCACAUCCGUCCACUGGCUUCGACGAAUCCGAGUCAUGGAAGGUGGCAGGGAGGAGGUACAGCGAGUCGGCGACGACUGGGUCGAGGAGACGAUGAGCGUCGAGCGGGGAAAGCAUGAGGUCAAGGAGAGGUGUGGGAGGCCGGUGGCGGCGGUGCCAUACUUGGGAUCUUACGGAUUUAAGGAAAAAGGCAAUGGUGGGUGAGUCGGGGCACUGUGGCUCGACAACCAGUGCACGGCGUUGGUCGAACGGUUUGGAUCUGGUGGCAGGUUGUAGGAUCGAAAGGAGUGUCUAGGAGGGGUGAAUAGACAACUAGCAUGAGUCAAUGGGCAAUCUUAAGUUCUUUAACAUUUAGGCGGAUUUUAGCACAAUCUAAAGUAGUACAAGCAUACUCUACACAAGCAUACCUAGAGCAUAGGCAACAGAAAGAAAAAUCGGUCAUGCCCGUGCAAGAAAGUAAGGAGUAGAAUUUGAGAGAAUCGCAAACAAUGGUUGACACAGAAGAUUUUUGACCCGCGGUCCCGAUAGGUCGUGAUAUCGUACGUCCACGGUUGAUGGAAGCUUCAAUCAUAAGGAUUACGUUUAUGGAUUCCAUAGAGGAAUCGAGUCCACAGAGGGCUCACACACACGAAGGAUCCAUGAAGAAGCAACAUUGCCUAUUCCAUCAUGGCAUACACCCAUGAAGGGUUGGCCUCACUAGGGUAGAUCUUCACGAAGUAGGCGAUUUUCUUGCCCUCACAAACUUCUUGGUUUCUCCACACGAUUUGGAGACUCCCAAGCAAACCUAGCCAAUCUAGGAGGCACCAUCCUCCAAAAGGUAAUAGAUGGUGUUGUUGAUGAUGAACUCCUUGCUCUUGUGCUUUAAAACAUAAUCUCCUUAACACUAAUACUCUCUCAUAGAUUUUGACUUUUGGAUAGGAGUGGUUUGGGUGGAAAGCAAUGAGGUGACUAGAAAUCAAAGGAUCAACGGUUCGAGUGGAUCCCUUUGAAAUCAACACAAGGAAUGGGAGCUCUCUCUCUCUCUCUGAAAUAUGGAUGUGUAAUGUGUUUACUUCGAGAGACAAUGGUCGAGUGGGUGGGGGCAUAUAUAGGCGGCACAAAAAACUGACUGUUACGCACCUUUUAGCACAUCUUGGUGAGACCGGCUGAAAACACACGGUCAGACCGAAUAGUAGAAAUGUUUGAACUUUAGAUACUUUGGUGACUCCAGAUGAAACUAUCCGGUGACACCAAGUUGUGCUCACCUAAGCACUUUACACACUUCGGUAAUUCUGACUGAAACCAUUCAGAAAUUCAGAACGAGUUGUAGUAGGCAACACAAGGUUAUAAGUGAUCUUCGGUGAGACCAAAGGGUCAACUUGGUGGGACCGAAAAGUUAGGGUUUUAGGCAACGACUAUAUCAUGAUGGCUCGGUGACUCUGAUUGGUUUGGUUCAGUGAGUCCGAGUUGAACUUUUAGUUUGUGAAAUAGUGGGAUCAUGUGAAAUGAUAUGAGGAUUUGGGAGUUUGAUCUUUAAUCACUUGAGCAAUGAACUCAUCAUCUCCUCAUAAGUUAGAGACCUUUCGGUCCAAAAAACUGCCCUAAGCCAAUGUACAACGCAAUGCACUUAGGAGAGGUGCUUAAAGAAAUAAAUUAUUCUUCAAGCACCGAUGCUUAUUUGUAGAAGGUACAAGCCUAAUUAGAGCAUCUCCAACGCCGACCCUUAACCGCCCGCAACCGCACGGUCCAAACGUGUUUUGCCAUCCAACGCGGUUCUAUAAUAUGUAUCAGUCCAGACAUGUUUUUCCUCAAAAACCGGAAACAAACCGGGGUACUUUGCGGGCGUCUGGACCGUUGCCACGCCCGCAUCCAACAACCAUUGCCCACCCAAACCCUCCCCUCGCCCGCGCACUUUCCCUCUCGAAGCCAGCUAUUCGCGUGCCGCUCUAGAACAACCGCUCCGCAUUGACGCCGGGACGUGACCUCUCACUGGCACCCGCACUAAAGCGGAUCACUUGCCGAGGGCACCACCCACGCCGCGUUCCCGGUGUCCGCACAUGUUCAAUGCCGGAGUGACGUUUACUGGACGGGAUGGGACGGAUAUCUACCGUGCCCGUUUAAUGCCUGUUUGUCCGUCUGCCACCAUUAGUAGGCUCACCGGCCGAGGAAUCAACUCCGACGCCCGCGCAUUUGGCGCACUGGGAUGCUUAGCCUCACCGAAGUGUGCUAUUUAAAGGCGACCACAACACAUCCACUCCACAUCUUCCUCCCGUGCACCACAUCUGCCACGACCGCGAACGGGAACGCUUUCUGGAAGAGCCUCUCGACCCAGCAAAAACACGAGGUGGCCGCCUCGCAGAGGCGUCGUGCCAGGCAGAUCGAGACCGGCAUGUCGGCCAGCUCCCUCGUGUCUUCAACGGCAACCCCAUGACGGAGAUGGGCUUUGGCGACGACUCGGCGCGGGAGCCCGCGCCGGUGCAUGCCGACUUACCAUGGAGCAAGCGAGGCGCACUUCACUGUGGCCAUGGCGGAGGAGGGCAAAUUUGACAAAUUUAACCUAUAGACGAAAUCAAAUCACAGAAUGAACUAUCCGUGAAACUAUUUCACGCGGCUGACCUUUUUGUGUGACGCCCGACACGAAGGCGCCACACUACACUGUGUAACGCCUAACAGAUAGGCGCUACACGGCCAGCGUCGCACCCGUGUGAUCAGAAAAUUACUAAGUCAGUGUGCAGCGCCUGAGAGCUAGGCGCCACACUAUACAGUGUAGCGCCUAGCUCCUAGGCGUUGCACUAGUGCAGCGCCUAGCUCCCAAGCGUUGCACUAGUGCAGCGCCUGAGAGCUAGGCGCCAUUGCACUAGUGCAGCGUCUGAGAGCUAGGCGCCACGGGUCAGCCGCGUGAAAUAGUUUUACGGACAGUUCAUUCUGUGAUUUGAUUUCGUCUAUAAGUUAAAUUUGUCAAAUUUGCCGCAGAGGAGCAGCCUGUGUUGGCACCUAUUCCGGUAUUCUGCAGGCUUACAACUUGUUCCUCUCCUCCUCGUGCAACCCCAGCUGGCGGAGGGCCAAACCUACAGCAAGUGUGCGAGCGAGGAGGUCGUAGCGGCCAUGGCCACGGCGAACCCCAACUUCUUAACGCAGAGCUGGCGUAGCCAGAUGCGGAUGUGGCGCUGGGAUAGAGGACAAGAAGACAAGAACACUGCGCGUCCUAUGUGCAGGCAGGAUCAUUCGAGGGCGCAUGUGGCAGGAGGGCAGGCAUUUUCAUGUUCAGCCGGAAGAGUUUAGACAAGACUCUAAUUAGGCCUUGAACAAUCAAAAAAUUGUUUUUUUGUUAAACACGGAUCACAGGAGAAACGAGGCACCCCUCAUGUAAUUGGUGCUUUUUAGAAAGAAAAAAACUAAUAUUCGUAUUUUCUUAAGCUUUGCUCAUUGACUCCCCGGUGAGGCGGUACGGAUGUUCCGUUAAGCAAGGUUCCCCUACCAUAUCUGCAGUCGAUUUUGUUGCCGUGAGCAAAUCCCACUGGAAGCACUCUUAAGCAUACGAAUUACUAGUUCAGGCGUCUCCAAGCGAACAGAAGACACAUGCAUGAAGAUUCUACCAAGCACAGAAGCGCCAUUUAUUACCAAAGCUCUCCACGAACCAUUUCUACUGUCACUUGAAGAUAAUUUAACUAGGUACACCACUGACGGAUUUGUUACAGUAUUUCUCGCAACGGGAUACAGAAUCAGGCAAAACCGGGGCCAACACAUCCAACGACCAACUCUCGUCCCCCCCUCGCAAAAUCUGGCGUUGGAAGCUGCCUUGCCAAAACAUGUUUCCCCCUCCUCUACCUGUCUGCUGCUAGACAGACCGAUGCUCAGAGCUCGUCCUUCAGAGGCUCG
rnacentral:lncRNA from 1 species